rnacentral:lncRNA from 1 species
CUUUCUGUUAGUUAAAUUGGUUGUCUUUGAUAUAGGGAACUUCCAGUUGAACUGAUUUGUAAUUCGAGUAUAUGAGAUUACCAACUGUAAUGGGAAUUGAUGCCAAAUUAAUUAUGUCAUCAGGUUUUCCAAUCAGUGUUCAUCAUUUAUUUCUGUUAACAAUUAAUAGCACAGCUUGUCUUCGCAGCUUCAUUGGUUCCUCUCAAAAAAGUAAUGCCAGAUGCAUCUAUAGUUUCAAUCGUUGUGGACUUGUAAAGAAUGAAAUUAGUCUGAACUCACUUCCGUCAUUUCCUGUUCAAGAGCAGCAGGGGGAAGUUGAUGAGUCAAAUGUCAAGUUGUUGGAGCAUGUGCUUUCAGCCUAAAACCCUGAUCUGCAGCAUCUCAAUCAUGUUACAAAAGGACAUGUCGCCUGGUGACACCAUGUUCUCUACAGCGCUGUUAAUGGAUCCUGAUUGUUCUUGUGAUCUGGAGAGUCUCAUUCAUAAUACAGAUCUUGAUCAGGACGAGCUAGCAUAUGUGAUCACCAACUCUACAUGGUUGUUGAUGCCAAAUUAAAUAUGGUAUCAUGUUUUUCAACUUGUUAUUUUCUAUAGUCCUUCCUUUGAAUGGCCACAAGAAACUGUAAAAUCACCCUUUGUCUUGUUCCCUCUUAAUGAUCGAUCACUUUGGGAGCUAAUGAAUUAGUUGCACCUUGUCACUUUAUUGGUGCUUGAUUGUCGUUUGUACUUUGAAUUCACAGCAUAUUUUACACUUGAUGUACUCUUUCCAUAAUCACCUUUGAGGGCUGCUAGUAUGUAUAAUUGAAAAACCUUAUAUAAAUUCUAAGCAUUUUUAUUUAACUUGUUGUAAACCUCCAGUGUAUGUCUCUUCUGUGAAAUGAUUCAUACUCUAUGCUGCUAGGACCUAGGCUUAUGACUCUUCUGUGAAAUGAUUUACCCUCACCUGCACACAGACAUUUAUCCCAAUCAAGAAAUCUUCAAACAAUGUGAAAAAAAUUGCUUGAAACACGACGCAGACUUAACCGAUUAAAAUGUCCCUACUGUGAGGAAGGAUGCUAUACAACUGACUCGGAAAAUGUAAAAUGGAUAACGUACGCCCAAGAUGAUCAACUAGAAACACAAUUCAAAACUCGGGCUGCUUUUGGCUGCCCGGCCUUCAGAAGUCAAUAUUUAUAUGAACUUUUGAGGAGAAAUUAUAUGAACUUUUGAGGAGAAAUUAUACUAAGGGUUCAGAAGUCAAUAUUUAUAUGAACUUCAGAAGUCAAUAUUUGGCUGCCCGGCCUUCAGAAGUCAAUAUUUAAAAACUUGGUGAAAUUACCGAUUAAAAUGUCCCUACUGUGAGGAAGGAUGCUAUACAACUGACUCGGAAAAUGUAAAAUGGAUAACGUACGCCCAAGAUGAUCAACUAGAAACACAAUUCAAAACUCGGGCUGCUUUUGGCUGCCCGGCCUUCAGAAGUCAAUAUUUAAAAACUUGGUGAAAUUACCGAUUAAAAUGUCCCUACUGUGAGGAAGGAUGCUAUACAACUGACUCGGAAAAUGUAAAAUGGAUAACGUACGCCCAAGAUGAUCAACUAGAAACACAAUUCAAAACUCGGGCUGCUUUUGGCUGCCCGGCCUUCAGAAGUCAAUAUUUAAAAACUUGGUGAAAUUACCGAUUAAAAUGUCCCUACUGUGAGGAAGGAUGCUAUACAACUGACUCGGAAAAUGUAAAAUGGAUAACGUACGCCCAAGAUGAUCAACUAGAAACACAAUUCAAAACUCGGGCUGCUUUUGGCUGCCCGGCCUUCAGAAGUCAAUAUUUAUAUGAACUUUUGAGGAGAAAUUAUAUGAACUUUUGAGGAGAAAUUAUACUAAGGGUUCAGAAGUCAAUAUUUAUAUGAACUUCAGAAGUCAAUAUUUGGCUGCCCGGCCUUCAGAAGUCAAUAUUUAAAAACUUGGUGAAAUUACCGAUUAAAAUGUCCCUACUGUGAGGAAGGAUGCUAUACAACUGACUCGGAAAAUGUAAAAUGGAUAACGUACGCCCAAGAUGAUCAACUAGAAACACAAUUCAAAACUCGGGCUGCUUUUGGCUGCCCGGCCUUCAGAAGUCAAUAUUUAAAAACUUGGUGAAAUUACCGAUUAAAAUGUCCCUACUGUGAGGAAGGAUGCUAUACAACUGACUCGGAAAAUGUAAAAUGGAUAACGUACGCCCAAGAUGAUCAACUAGAAACACAAUUCAAAACUCGGGCUGCUUUUGGCUGCCCGGCCUUCAGAAGUCAAUAUUUAAAAACUUGGUGAAAUUACCGAUUAAAAUGUCCCUACUGUGAGGAAGGAUGCUAUACAACUGACUCGGAAAAUGUAAAAUGGAUAACGUACGCCCAAGAUGAUCAACUAGAAACACAAUUCAAAACUCGGGCUGCUUUUGGCUGCCCGGCCUUCAGAAGUCAAUAUUUAUAUGAACUUUUGAGGAGAAAUUAUAUGAACUUUUGAGGAGAAAUUAUACUAAGGGUUCAGAAGUCAAUAUUUAUAUGAACUUCAGAAGUCAAUAUUUGGCUGCCCGGCCUUCAGAAGUCAAUAUUUAAAAACUUGGUGAAAUUACCGAUUAAAAUGUCCCUACUGUGAGGAAGGAUGCUAUACAACUGACUCGGAAAAUGUAAAAUGGAUAACGUACGCCCAAGAUGAUCAACUAGAAACACAAUUCAAAACUCGGGCUGCUUUUGGCUGCCCGGCCUUCAGAAGUCAAUAUUUAAAAACUUGGUGAAAUUACCGAUUAAAAUGUCCCUACUGUGAGGAAGGAUGCUAUACAACUGACUCGGAAAAUGUAAAAUGGAUAACGUACGCCCAAGAUGAUCAACUAGAAACACAAUUCAAAACUCGGGCUGCUUUUGGCUGCCCGGCCUUCAGAAGUCAAUAUUUAAAAACUUGGUGAAAUUACCGAUUAAAAUGUCCCUACUGUGAGGAAGGAUGCUAUACAACUGACUCGGAAAAUGUAAAAUGGAUAACGUACGCCCAAGAUGAUCAACUAGAAACACAAUUCAAAACUCGGGCUGCUUUUGGCUGCCCGGCCUUCAGAAGUCAAUAUUUAUAUGAACUUUUGAGGAGAAAUUAUAUGAACUUUUGAGGAGAAAUUAUACUAAGGGUUCAGAAGUCAAUAUUUAUAUGAACUUCAGAAGUCAAUAUUUGGCUGCCCGGCCUUCAGAAGUCAAUAUUUAAAAACUUGGUGAAAUUACCGAUUAAAAUGUCCCUACUGUGAGGAAGGAUGCUAUACAACUGACUCGGAAAAUGUAAAAUGGAUAACGUACGCCCAAGAUGAUCAACUAGAAACACAAUUCAAAACUCGGGCUGCUUUUGGCUGCCCGGCCUUCAGAAGUCAAUAUUUAAAAACUUGGUGAAAUUACCGAUUAAAAUGUCCCUACUGUGAGGAAGGAUGCUAUACAACUGACUCGGAAAAUGUAAAAUGGAUAACGUACGCCCAAGAUGAUCAACUAGAAACACAAUUCAAAACUCGGGCUGCUUUUGGCUGCCCGGCCUUCAGAAGUCAAUAUUUAAAAACUUGGUGAAAUUACCGAUUAAAAUGUCCCUACUGUGAGGAAGGAUGCUAUACAACUGACUCGGAAAAUGUAAAAUGGAUAACGUACGCCCAAGAUGAUCAACUAGAAACACAAUUCAAAACUCGGGCUGCUUUUGGCUGCCCGGCCUUCAGAAGUCAAUAUUUAUAUGAACUUUUGAGGAGAAAUUAUAUGAACUUUUGAGGAGAAAUUAUACUAAGGGUUCAGAAGUCAAUAUUUAUAUGAACUUCAGAAGUCAAUAUUUGGCUGCCCGGCCUUCAGAAGUCAAUAUUUAAAAACUUGGUGAAAUUACCGAUUAAAAUGUCCCUACUGUGAGGAAGGAUGCUAUACAACUGACUCGGAAAAUGUAAAAUGGAUAACGUACGCCCAAGAUGAUCAACUAGAAACACAAUUCAAAACUCGGGCUGCUUUUGGCUGCCCGGCCUUCAGAAGUCAAUAUUUAAAAACUUGGUGAAAUUACCGAUUAAAAUGUCCCUACUGUGAGGAAGGAUGCUAUACAACUGACUCGGAAAAUGUAAAAUGGAUAACGUACGCCCAAGAUGAUCAACUAGAAACACAAUUCAAAACUCGGGCUGCUUUUGGCUGCCCGGCCUUCAGAAGUCAAUAUUUAAAAACUUGGUGAAAUUACCGAUUAAAAUGUCCCUACUGUGAGGAAGGAUGCUAUACAACUGACUCGGAAAAUGUAAAAUGGAUAACGUACGCCCAAGAUGAUCAACUAGAAACACAAUUCAAAACUCGGGCUGCUUUUGGCUGCCCGGCCUUCAGAAGUCAAUAUUUAUAUGAACUUUUGAGGAGAAAUUAUAUGAACUUUUGAGGAGAAAUUAUACUAAGGGUUCAGAAGUCAAUAUUUAUAUGAACUUCAGAAGUCAAUAUUUGGCUGCCCGGCCUUCAGAAGUCAAUAUUUAAAAACUUGGUGAAAUUACCGAUUAAAAUGUCCCUACUGUGAGGAAGGAUGCUAUACAACUGACUCGGAAAAUGUAAAAUGGAUAACGUACGCCCAAGAUGAUCAACUAGAAACACAAUUCAAAACUCGGGCUGCUUUUGGCUGCCCGGCCUUCAGAAGUCAAUAUUUAAAAACUUGGUGAAAUUACCGAUUAAAAUGUCCCUACUGUGAGGAAGGAUGCUAUACAACUGACUCGGAAAAUGUAAAAUGGAUAACGUACGCCCAAGAUGAUCAACUAGAAACACAAUUCAAAACUCGGGCUGCUUUUGGCUGCCCGGCCUUCAGAAGUCAAUAUUUAAAAACUUGGUGAAAUUACCGAUUAAAAUGUCCCUACUGUGAGGAAGGAUGCUAUACAACUGACUCGGAAAAUGUAAAAUGGAUAACGUACGCCCAAGAUGAUCAACUAGAAACACAAUUCAAAACUCGGGCUGCUUUUGGCUGCCCGGCCUUCAGAAGUCAAUAUUUAUAUGAACUUUUGAGGAGAAAUUAUAUGAACUUUUGAGGAGAAAUUAUACUAAGGGUUCAGAAGUCAAUAUUUAUAUGAACUUCAGAAGUCAAUAUUUGGCUGCCCGGCCUUCAGAAGUCAAUAUUUAAAAACUUGGUGAAAUUACCGAUUAAAAUGUCCCUACUGUGAGGAAGGAUGCUAUACAACUGACUCGGAAAAUGUAAAAUGGAUAACGUACGCCCAAGAUGAUCAACUAGAAACACAAUUCAAAACUCGGGCUGCUUUUGGCUGCCCGGCCUUCAGAAGUCAAUAUUUAAAAACUUGGUGAAAUUACCGAUUAAAAUGUCCCUACUGUGAGGAAGGAUGCUAUACAACUGACUCGGAAAAUGUAAAAUGGAUAACGUACGCCCAAGAUGAUCAACUAGAAACACAAUUCAAAACUCGGGCUGCUUUUGGCUGCCCGGCCUUCAGAAGUCAAUAUUUAAAAACUUGGUGAAAUUACCGAUUAAAAUGUCCCUACUGUGAGGAAGGAUGCUAUACAACUGACUCGGAAAAUGUAAAAUGGAUAACGUACGCCCAAGAUGAUCAACUAGAAACACAAUUCAAAACUCGGGCUGCUUUUGGCUGCCCGGCCUUCAGAAGUCAAUAUUUAUAUGAACUUUUGAGGAGAAAUUAUAUGAACUUUUGAGGAGAAAUUAUACUAAGGGUUCAGAAGUCAAUAUUUAUAUGAACUUCAGAAGUCAAUAUUUGGCUGCCCGGCCUUCAGAAGUCAAUAUUUAAAAACUUGGUGAAAUUACCGAUUAAAAUGUCCCUACUGUGAGGAAGGAUGCUAUACAACUGACUCGGAAAAUGUAAAAUGGAUAACGUACGCCCAAGAUGAUCAACUAGAAACACAAUUCAAAACUCGGGCUGCUUUUGGCUGCCCGGCCUUCAGAAGUCAAUAUUUAAAAACUUGGUGAAAUUACCGAUUAAAAUGUCCCUACUGUGAGGAAGGAUGCUAUACAACUGACUCGGAAAAUGUAAAAUGGAUAACGUACGCCCAAGAUGAUCAACUAGAAACACAAUUCAAAACUCGGGCUGCUUUUGGCUGCCCGGCCUUCAGAAGUCAAUAUUUAAAAACUUGGUGAAAUUACCGAUUAAAAUGUCCCUACUGUGAGGAAGGAUGCUAUACAACUGACUCGGAAAAUGUAAAAUGGAUAACGUACGCCCAAGAUGAUCAACUAGAAACACAAUUCAAAACUCGGGCUGCUUUUGGCUGCCCGGCCUUCAGAAGUCAAUAUUUAUAUGAACUUUUGAGGAGAAAUUAUAUGAACUUUUGAGGAGAAAUUAUACUAAGGGUUCAGAAGUCAAUAUUUAUAUGAACUUCAGAAGUCAAUAUUUGGCUGCCCGGCCUUCAGAAGUCAAUAUUUAAAAACUUGGUGAAAUUACCGAUUAAAAUGUCCCUACUGUGAGGAAGGAUGCUAUACAACUGACUCGGAAAAUGUAAAAUGGAUAACGUACGCCCAAGAUGAUCAACUAGAAACACAAUUCAAAACUCGGGCUGCUUUUGGCUGCCCGGCCUUCAGAAGUCAAUAUUUAAAAACUUGGUGAAAUUACCGAUUAAAAUGUCCCUACUGUGAGGAAGGAUGCUAUACAACUGACUCGGAAAAUGUAAAAUGGAUAACGUACGCCCAAGAUGAUCAACUAGAAACACAAUUCAAAACUCGGGCUGCUUUUGGCUGCCCGGCCUUCAGAAGUCAAUAUUUAAAAACUUGGUGAAAUUACCGAUUAAAAUGUCCCUACUGUGAGGAAGGAUGCUAUACAACUGACUCGGAAAAUGUAAAAUGGAUAACGUACGCCCAAGAUGAUCAACUAGAAACACAAUUCAAAACUCGGGCUGCUUUUGGCUGCCCGGCCUUCAGAAGUCAAUAUUUAUAUGAACUUUUGAGGAGAAAUUAUAUGAACUUUUGAGGAGAAAUUAUACUAAGGGUUCAGAAGUCAAUAUUUAUAUGAACUUCAGAAGUCAAUAUUUGGCUGCCCGGCCUUCAGAAGUCAAUAUUUAAAAACUUGGUGAAAUUACCGAUUAAAAUGUCCCUACUGUGAGGAAGGAUGCUAUACAACUGACUCGGAAAAUGUAAAAUGGAUAACGUACGCCCAAGAUGAUCAACUAGAAACACAAUUCAAAACUCGGGCUGCUUUUGGCUGCCCGGCCUUCAGAAGUCAAUAUUUAAAAACUUGGUGAAAUUACCGAUUAAAAUGUCCCUACUGUGAGGAAGGAUGCUAUACAACUGACUCGGAAAAUGUAAAAUGGAUAACGUACGCCCAAGAUGAUCAACUAGAAACACAAUUCAAAACUCGGGCUGCUUUUGGCUGCCCGGCCUUCAGAAGUCAAUAUUUAAAAACUUGGUGAAAUUACCGAUUAAAAUGUCCCUACUGUGAGGAAGGAUGCUAUACAACUGACUCGGAAAAUGUAAAAUGGAUAACGUACGCCCAAGAUGAUCAACUAGAAACACAAUUCAAAACUCGGGCUGCUUUUGGCUGCCCGGCCUUCAGAAGUCAAUAUUUAUAUGAACUUUUGAGGAGAAAUUAUAUGAACUUUUGAGGAGAAAUUAUACUAAGGGUUCAGAAGUCAAUAUUUAUAUGAACUUCAGAAGUCAAUAUUUGGCUGCCCGGCCUUCAGAAGUCAAUAUUUAAAAACUUGGUGAAAUUACCGAUUAAAAUGUCCCUACUGUGAGGAAGGAUGCUAUACAACUGACUCGGAAAAUGUAAAAUGGAUAACGUACGCCCAAGAUGAUCAACUAGAAACACAAUUCAAAACUCGGGCUGCUUUUGGCUGCCCGGCCUUCAGAAGUCAAUAUUUAAAAACUUGGUGAAAUUACCGAUUAAAAUGUCCCUACUGUGAGGAAGGAUGCUAUACAACUGACUCGGAAAAUGUAAAAUGGAUAACGUACGCCCAAGAUGAUCAACUAGAAACACAAUUCAAAACUCGGGCUGCUUUUGGCUGCCCGGCCUUCAGAAGUCAAUAUUUAAAAACUUGGUGAAAUUACCGAUUAAAAUGUCCCUACUGUGAGGAAGGAUGCUAUACAACUGACUCGGAAAAUGUAAAAUGGAUAACGUACGCCCAAGAUGAUCAACUAGAAACACAAUUCAAAACUCGGGCUGCUUUUGGCUGCCCGGCCUUCAGAAGUCAAUAUUUAUAUGAACUUUUGAGGAGAAAUUAUAUGAACUUUUGAGGAGAAAUUAUACUAAGGGUUCAGAAGUCAAUAUUUAUAUGAACUUCAGAAGUCAAUAUUUGGCUGCCCGGCCUUCAGAAGUCAAUAUUUAAAAACUUGGUGAAAUUACCGAUUAAAAUGUCCCUACUGUGAGGAAGGAUGCUAUACAACUGACUCGGAAAAUGUAAAAUGGAUAACGUACGCCCAAGAUGAUCAACUAGAAACACAAUUCAAAACUCGGGCUGCUUUUGGCUGCCCGGCCUUCAGAAGUCAAUAUUUAAAAACUUGGUGAAAUUACCGAUUAAAAUGUCCCUACUGUGAGGAAGGAUGCUAUACAACUGACUCGGAAAAUGUAAAAUGGAUAACGUACGCCCAAGAUGAUCAACUAGAAACACAAUUCAAAACUCGGGCUGCUUUUGGCUGCCCGGCCUUCAGAAGUCAAUAUUUAAAAACUUGGUGAAAUUACCGAUUAAAAUGUCCCUACUGUGAGGAAGGAUGCUAUACAACUGACUCGGAAAAUGUAAAAUGGAUAACGUACGCCCAAGAUGAUCAACUAGAAACACAAUUCAAAACUCGGGCUGCUUUUGGCUGCCCGGCCUUCAGAAGUCAAUAUUUAUAUGAACUUUUGAGGAGAAAUUAUAUGAACUUUUGAGGAGAAAUUAUACUAAGGGUUCAGAAGUCAAUAUUUAUAUGAACUUCAGAAGUCAAUAUUUGGCUGCCCGGCCUUCAGAAGUCAAUAUUUAAAAACUUGGUGAAAUUACCGAUUAAAAUGUCCCUACUGUGAGGAAGGAUGCUAUACAACUGACUCGGAAAAUGUAAAAUGGAUAACGUACGCCCAAGAUGAUCAACUAGAAACACAAUUCAAAACUCGGGCUGCUUUUGGCUGCCCGGCCUUCAGAAGUCAAUAUUUAAAAACUUGGUGAAAUUACCGAUUAAAAUGUCCCUACUGUGAGGAAGGAUGCUAUACAACUGACUCGGAAAAUGUAAAAUGGAUAACGUACGCCCAAGAUGAUCAACUAGAAACACAAUUCAAAACUCGGGCUGCUUUUGGCUGCCCGGCCUUCAGAAGUCAAUAUUUAAAAACUUGGUGAAAUUACCGAUUAAAAUGUCCCUACUGUGAGGAAGGAUGCUAUACAACUGACUCGGAAAAUGUAAAAUGGAUAACGUACGCCCAAGAUGAUCAACUAGAAACACAAUUCAAAACUCGGGCUGCUUUUGGCUGCCCGGCCUUCAGAAGUCAAUAUUUAUAUGAACUUUUGAGGAGAAAUUAUAUGAACUUUUGAGGAGAAAUUAUACUAAGGGUUCAGAAGUCAAUAUUUAUAUGAACUUCAGAAGUCAAUAUUUGGCUGCCCGGCCUUCAGAAGUCAAUAUUUAAAAACUUGGUGAAAUUACCGAUUAAAAUGUCCCUACUGUGAGGAAGGAUGCUAUACAACUGACUCGGAAAAUGUAAAAUGGAUAACGUACGCCCAAGAUGAUCAACUAGAAACACAAUUCAAAACUCGGGCUGCUUUUGGCUGCCCGGCCUUCAGAAGUCAAUAUUUAAAAACUUGGUGAAAUUACCGAUUAAAAUGUCCCUACUGUGAGGAAGGAUGCUAUACAACUGACUCGGAAAAUGUAAAAUGGAUAACGUACGCCCAAGAUGAUCAACUAGAAACACAAUUCAAAACUCGGGCUGCUUUUGGCUGCCCGGCCUUCAGAAGUCAAUAUUUAAAAACUUGGUGAAAUUACCGAUUAAAAUGUCCCUACUGUGAGGAAGGAUGCUAUACAACUGACUCGGAAAAUGUAAAAUGGAUAACGUACGCCCAAGAUGAUCAACUAGAAACACAAUUCAAAACUCGGGCUGCUUUUGGCUGCCCGGCCUUCAGAAGUCAAUAUUUAUAUGAACUUUUGAGGAGAAAUUAUAUGAACUUUUGAGGAGAAAUUAUACUAAGGGUUCAGAAGUCAAUAUUUAUAUGAACUUCAGAAGUCAAUAUUUGGCUGCCCGGCCUUCAGAAGUCAAUAUUUAAAAACUUGGUGAAAUUACCGAUUAAAAUGUCCCUACUGUGAGGAAGGAUGCUAUACAACUGACUCGGAAAAUGUAAAAUGGAUAACGUACGCCCAAGAUGAUCAACUAGAAACACAAUUCAAAACUCGGGCUGCUUUUGGCUGCCCGGCCUUCAGAAGUCAAUAUUUAAAAACUUGGUGAAAUUACCGAUUAAAAUGUCCCUACUGUGAGGAAGGAUGCUAUACAACUGACUCGGAAAAUGUAAAAUGGAUAACGUACGCCCAAGAUGAUCAACUAGAAACACAAUUCAAAACUCGGGCUGCUUUUGGCUGCCCGGCCUUCAGAAGUCAAUAUUUAAAAACUUGGUGAAAUUACCGAUUAAAAUGUCCCUACUGUGAGGAAGGAUGCUAUACAACUGACUCGGAAAAUGUAAAAUGGAUAACGUACGCCCAAGAUGAUCAACUAGAAACACAAUUCAAAACUCGGGCUGCUUUUGGCUGCCCGGCCUUCAGAAGUCAAUAUUUAUAUGAACUUUUGAGGAGAAAUUAUAUGAACUUUUGAGGAGAAAUUAUACUAAGGGUUCAGAAGUCAAUAUUUAUAUGAACUUCAGAAGUCAAUAUUUGGCUGCCCGGCCUUCAGAAGUCAAUAUUUAAAAACUUGGUGAAAUUACCGAUUAAAAUGUCCCUACUGUGAGGAAGGAUGCUAUACAACUGACUCGGAAAAUGUAAAAUGGAUAACGUACGCCCAAGAUGAUCAACUAGAAACACAAUUCAAAACUCGGGCUGCUUUUGGCUGCCCGGCCUUCAGAAGUCAAUAUUUAUAUGAACUUUUGAGGAGAAAUUAUAUGAACUUUUGAGGAGAAAUUAUACUAAGGGUUCAGAAGUCAAUAUUUAUAUGAACUUCAGAAGUCAAUAUUUGGCUGCCCGGCCUUCAGAAGUCAAUAUUUAAAAACUUGGUGAAAUUACCGAUUAAAAUGUCCCUACUGUGAGGAAGGAUGCUAUACAACUGACUCGGAAAAUGUAAAAUGGAUAACGUACGCCCAAGAUGAUCAACCAGAAAGUGAGAGAUUAGGAUCACCAGUCAGUCAGAUUUGGAUAGAAAGUGAGAGAUUGCUAUGCCGUGCCAUUGCUUCAAUCCUAAAUGCUUUCAUCUCCCUGAAAAGUAUACAAAUGUAGGGGUUAAAACAGAAUAGAUGAAACCGUAUUGAGGAACUCAACUGAGACAGAUGAUAAAUGAAAACUAACCAACCUUCACGCAAAACUCGUACAUCUCCCUUUAAGAGCUGACUUUCUGAGAAGAGAUCACCACAAUCGUUCACAUCAAAAGUCUCCACUUGAAAAUUUUAUAACCAUAGUACUCAUUCCAUUCAAACCAGAUCCUUGAGAUCAGUUCCUUCUUCAGGCAAGUGGCAUGAUCUUCCUCUUUAGGAGACUCAGCAGCAACCAGUCUAUAUGCACAAACUUUCUUUGUUUGGCCUGGCCGGAAAGCCCUGCUGAUUGCCUGGCGGCUCACUGAUGGAUUAAAGAGAACAUCCAGAAUAAUGAUUCAAAUUUUUGUGGAAUUACUUGUAAAGAAUGAAAUUGGUUUAAACUCGAUUCCACAAUUCAAGAGACAAAACUAAGCAGACGGGUUGAAUCUUUGAUUUAGUAGCAUGUCUCUUCUGCUUUAAAAGCAGAUCUGGAGAAUCCCAUUCUUAUUACAACGUGUGAAGGAGUGUUGUGUAUUGUUGGCAUGUUCCCAGGUUCUGUUCAUGGAUUCUGUUUGCAGACAUGGCCGACUCUUUGUUUCAUCGGAUAAGUUUCAAAUAAUUCUGGCAAAUUUUUGUUGUAAAAUUACUUUUUUAUCAUUUAAUCCAUAUGCCUCUUUCUCAUUACCUGCAAGUGCAAAAUUUUUAGGCUCGUCCUAUUAGACCUCUUUUUCUUCUCUAAAUAGAUAAAAUGGCAUUUCAUUUUUCUCUUGCGAGGGUGCAGGUUUAUGCUGAAACUUUCGGUUAGUUAAAUUGAUUGUCUUUGAUAUUGGAACUUGUAGUUGAACUAGUUUGCAUUUAGAAUAUAUGAGAUUACCAACUGUAACGGGAAUUGGUGCCGAAUUGAUUAUGUUAUCAGGUUUUUCAGUCUGUGCUCAUCUUUUAUUUCUGUUAAUAAUUAAUAGCACAGCUUGUCUUCUCUGCUUCUUUGGUUCCUGUCUAUUGUCAAAUAUAAACUUGUAGAGACAUUUUGUUUUGGCAUGGCACAUGCUAGAUUUUGUUUUUGGUUUGAAUGAUACUACACAUCUAAGUGAUUGUCCAGAUUUUUUUUCAUUCCUAGUGACAUGGCACUCAAUUGAAUGGUGACUCGUGAAUCAUGAUUGUGUGUGUUGGUCUUUGUUAUACUACGUGUUGGCAAGACAAAGUCUUUUGAAACUGCCAAACUUUUCUAUAUGAAUAUUGAAGACAAUAUGAUAAGAUAAAAUUAAUCAAAAACAUAUAUACUUGACAGGGCUGGAACGUCUGUUAUUAGUCCUCGCCUUCCAUUCUUGUUUCAUAUUCUUCUGCUAACAAAUCUUGAUCAUGAUAGUCUUCUCUGUUAUUAAUCCUUUUUUUUUUUUUUUUGGCUUUUGGAUUUUGUUUCCUUUAUAUAUAUAUAUAUAUAUAUAUAUAUAUAUUGUAUACAGUUAUUAGCAUCGACAACUUGAGCUUGCAGUCUUGUGAGUUUAGAGCCUACCAAAGUAAGCAUACACAUGACAAUGAAGAAUUGAAGAUUGUGAACGGUUUACUUGUGCGGCUAUGUUAGAAAAAUUUGACUGAUCGUGAAGAUAUUGAGAGAUCGUCCAUCUUGGUACUGCUAUUGUUGGAGCCUUGAAGUGUCAACUUCUCAUCGUUGCCUACAGUUGCCUCAUUGAUGAAUUGCGUAAAAUAGGCAAACUGAAAAUUGCUUGGGAACUGUUUCAAAGUUUGCCCCGUACAGGCCUAAUGCAAAAUGUUGUAACAUAUAACAUCAUGAUUCAUGGGCUUUGUGAUGAUGGGGCAAAUGGAUAAGACACAUGAUUUAUUUCUUGAUAGACCAUUCUCAGGGCACAAAGGGUGUGGUGCCCAAUUGUGCCAUAUUUACUAUGCUUAUGCGAAAGAAUGAGACAUCAAAAUUUUCAUCACUCAAUGGAUAUAAGAAAUGUAAUGCCAGCUGCAUCUAUAGUUUCAAUUGGUGUGCGCUUACUGGUUAAGAAUGAAAUUAGUUUAAACUUGAUGCCAGAAUUCAAGAGACGGUUAAUUAGAUGAGUUGAAUGUUGAUUUAGUAGCCUUGAAGUUUUGCAAAUGUUUCCUGAUGGAUAAAUUGAACUUGUAUGCACACAUGUAAACUAAAAGAAAAAUUAUUUUAAUAGAAAACGUGCUUUAAGCAUGUCCUUCGGCAUGAGGUAAUACUAUAAAGUUUUUUUUUAAGUAAGGUUAUAAAUUCUAGCAAUUGAGUCUCAAUUUGAUAUUAUAUUCAUCUGGUAUAGGGUAGAAUAUUAAUUUUUUCAAUUAUAAAAUUUACUAUCUAAUAGAUGAACAACACUUAACAGUUGAGAAUGAAAUGGAGACUCAAUUGUUGGGAGUCCAAUCACUUUUUUCUCUUUUAACUUGCUAUUUUUGUUGUCCGAAAUUAUCUGAAGUUCCAUGCUUGCUCCAAUAGAACAAAUAAGAUAGGUUAUGAUCAACUUUUUUUUUUUCCAAAUAAAGGAACCACCUGCAUCGAUACUCCAUAAGCAAGUUUUUUCUUUUGACUGCCCCUUAUAUUUGUCACACUCCUUGUACUAGUGCCCAAUGAAACCACAACAGAAGCAAAAAUAUGGCAAUCUCUCAUAUACUACUGUAAUUGGAACAUCGUCUUCACCUUCAAGUUCUAAAUAAAUAAUUUUCUUUAGUGGUUGUGUGAUAUCAAUUGAGAUACUUACUCUGGCAUACUAACCAAUGCACUCUCCUUCCACGUCCACAUCAACUUCUUCAACUAUACCAAUUGCCUCUCCCAAUGCUUUGAUUAUUUGCUGGUCUAUACACCCAACUGGGACAUUAUGAAGUUGUACCCAAAGGCAGCAUGAGUAAAUGAUUGUUUUGUUAUUUCCCCAAUUCCACUUGCCUCUUUUAGAACUAUUAGAGCUCGUUCAAAAUGCCACUGCCCACUUGAUAAAAUUCUCAUCUUAUCAACUUCAAAGGCAAAUUUAACUUAAAAAUCUUACUCCCCAGAUUUUCAAUUUCACCUAUUCUACUAUUCUGCAUACUUGUUGUAAUGCUCACUUGAGACCCUCUCUAGUAACUCCUCUUAGAUGUAAGACUUUGCCCAGCAAACAGCCCUCAACUAGCUCUCUCUCAUUCCCUUUCAUGACAUUACCAACAACUUCUUUACUCUAUUUUCCUUCUUCUAAUAUAAUAACUUUACACUUGCAAAUUAGUUCUUCUGUUUUCAUUAGGCACUAAAAUAUAAAUCCAUUGUGAUAACUCUUGAGUAUCUACCACUUCCUCUGUAAUUAAGACUCAACAACUCAAAUGAAAAACUUAAAAGUAAAAGAGACACCCAACUCGUGAGCAACUUUCGCAAUCUUAUGGGCUACUACCAUUUCAUUCUAGAUUCUCGCUCAUAGAGGGAGAACCUGUGAAGAAAGACUUCUACAGGUAGGAGACCGCUUACACAGUAGAUUAUUUAUAUUUCUUUGGACUAACUUUUUACUUUAUCAAAGACAAAAACAACAUAAACAAAGACAGAAGAUUAACAAAAGCAUCAAUUGCCAAAGAGUAGAGAGUAUUAUUAUAUUUUAGGAACAUAGGUUAUGACCAACUUAAAAGAAGCAGUUAGGGCUUGUUCAGUACUGUUUUAAAAGCCUUAUUUUCAUUUUUGUUUUGGGAGUACAAAUAUAAUACAUAUUUAGUGGGUUGAAUCCAAAAAUUAAAUCAUAAAAAAGAAUUGAUAUUCACUUUUACAGUUAUAAAAUUAAGAACCUAUUGAACAUGUUCUCAAACAAAUUACAAAUUAAAUUAAAACAUAAACCCCAAAAUAAAAUCUAAAAAGUUAUCUUCCUCUCCUAAAAUCUUAUCUCCUCCCUCUCGUUAUCUCUUCACAACUCUUCCUUCUUCAUGGUAGAUACUUCUCCUCUAACCACAACCCACCUGAAUUGUGCACCGAUCUCUCUCUCCCCAUCCCCUUUAUCUAGGUCUACUUCACAGUUCUCUUCCUCUCAGUGGCUGUUACUUGUUCAUCAACCGCAAUCCAUCGUCGUAAGGUACUACGUCGGAAUAUUUUACCAAAAACAUGUCAAGACAAAGUGAUGUCUAUCAUGGUUUAUUACUGCAAGUGCAUUAUUUUCUUUGUACUAAAGUGAAUCUUUGAUGUAUUUAUUAAAUUUGGUGGAGCAAUCUUAGUUAAUUUUGAUGAUUUAUAUAUGCAUUUAAUUUCAUUUUUAAUAAUUCAUGUGCAGGAAAUAUGGAUUCUUGGCUUUGCUUGGACUGAUGGUUUGGGCAAUUUCAUUUGGAAUCAAUCAACUUCGAGGAUAAACACUUGUAGUUCAUCCUUUGUUCUCUAAUUUUGUUCAUGGGACUUGCUUUUCUUCCAUCCAACUUUUUUGUUCUCUAUUUCUAUGGUAGCAGUUUUAUGUUUUGUGUUGGUGGGAAACUUCAUGCUGCAAUUUUGUCAAAUUCUGUUGACAUACCCUAAUCAGUAAUGACUUUGCUGCAUGGCGAAAGCAUAAGCUCAUAGUUGACAUUGUUGUCAUUAGAGCUUGUUUCCAUAAAAAAAAAGUGUAAUUUGAAAGUACAUUGUACACUAUUGAAUUUGAAUUAUCUCCAACAAGUGUUGAUGCAUGAUGUCCAUCAUGUAAUUUUUUUAUAAUCAUUUUGUUUAACUUAUAUGUGUUGUAAUAUAUAGCUUAAUUAUAGUGUAAAAACAAUGGCAAUGUAAUUUUUUUAUUAAUGCUAAUACUAAAACUUUAUCAUCAUGCAAUGUUUUAUAAUUAUUUUGAUUAAAUUAUUUAUGGUAUAUUUUUGUAUUAAUUAAAUAAACAAUUAGUUUUUAUUAAAAAAAUUAUGACUUAUAUGUUUAGUAAAAAUUGUUCAUGAAAAUAGUAUUACCGAACACAUUUUCUCUGUGUUUAUCUUUUUCAAUUGUGUUUACGGAACACAUGUUACUGUUUUCAAUUUAGAAAAUACAAGAGAUAGAAAAUGAUAUCAGAUGUCUAUUUAAUUCAAAAUGCAGCAACUGCAAAACACUAUUUUUACUCUCAUUUUUCUUUUUAGAAAAUACUAAUUUAGAAACAAUACCAAACAAGAACUUAGUUUUAGUACGAAUAAUGUUGUGUUAGUUUUAUAGGUUUACAUGCACCCUUAGAUUUAUUAGAAGUAUCAGCCCAACCCCCUAGUUACUGUUGACUAAUAUCGAACCCGCUGCCCGAUGUUGACUCUUGAAAGUAACUAUAACAUCUAUAUUGUAAUCUCACUUUAUUAACUAAUAAAUUUUAAAAAUAUAAACAGAUCAAUAAUAACAAAAUAAUUAAAGUUGAAAUCCAAGAAAUUACACAAAAAACCACACCUAAACCAAACCUGAAAACCAAAAUGCAUAAAAUUUCAUUAAUUUAGGUUGUGACAAUGAGUCGUCUACAUUAUAUGAUGAAGGAACAAUUUCUAUCAUUUUACCAAGUUAUUAAUACUAUGUUUACGUACUAGAGUGGGCCUGAGAAGUAUAGAUUCCUCACACACUAGAGUUUACUUGCAUAUUCUAAGAGGUGUGGGAAUCUCACUCCGUUGAUCCCACCCAAUUUUGAAGUAGGGAGUGUGAUUUCCACUCCCACAAGGGAAGGUCCACUCCCACAACUUUAUUUUUUACCUUUCUUUUAUUAAAUUUAAUACAAUCAUAUUUAGUAAAAUAAAACAAAUAACAUCAUAUUUAUUUAAUAAAUAUUAUUAUAUUAUUUUAUAAAAUUCUAUUUAUUAAAAAGAAUAAUAUUAAUCUUAUUUAGAUAAAAUUAUUAUUAUAUUUAUUUAAAAAUAAUAGCAUUAUAUUUAUUUAAUAUUAAUAAUUAAUAUUAAUAAAUAGUUUAUUCUAAGAAAAUAUUUAUUUUGCACUAUAUUAUUAAUAAGAGAUAUUAUCAUUUUUCCACCAAAAUUAUUCUGAUACAUCAUGUUAGUAGCACGGUUUGGUAAAAACAUCAUUUUACCACCAAACGUUUAAAUUGUUAGUAUUUUUCCACAAUUCCGUUAAAACUCAGUUAAUAUUUAAUGAAAAAUGCAUAAAAAGUCAAUUUUACCCCUGGAGCAUAAAAGAUAAUUUUACCCUUUAAAAAGGAAGAACGACAAAAGAUGAUUUAAUUACAAAAUUACCCCCAAAAGACGACAAGACAAUUUUACCCUUUAAAAAGGGAGAACAACAAAAGACGAUUUAAUUACAAAAUUACCCCCAAAAGACGACACUGCUGCGAGAGUGAGAGAGAUAUGGGUCAGUGACAGUAAGCGAGAGAGGACGGAGAUGGAACAAGAAACGAGAGAGAGGGGGGUUGAUUUCGAUUUUUAGGGCUUCCAUAUCCAAAUUGCUUGUUUUUUUACAAUUGCAAAACACAACGUUUUGCCUUCGCAUGAGAUGUCCAAAAUGCCCUUAUGAUGUCAACAUAAUUUUUAUUUAGUUAACGGAAUGGUGGGAAAAUACUAACAAUAUAAAUGUUUGGUGGUAAAAUGAUGUUUUUAUAAAAUCGUAGUACUGAAAUGAUGUAUCAGAAUAACUUUGGUGGGAAAAUGAUAAUAUCCCUAUUAAUAAUAAUGUUUUAUUUGUGUUGCUCUUAUCAAUAAUUUUUAAUUUAAAUAAUUAAAAUUAAAACUAAUAAAAAUUUAUGAUUUACAUAAUUAAUAAUAUUAAUAAUUAUUGUUAAUUUACAAAUAUAGUGAAAUAAUAUAUUUUAUUUCAAAUAUAUUUUUUUAUUAAUUUUGUAAUUAAAAGGUACAAUUCUUUAAAUAAGUGUAAAACCGUAAUUUGAAACCAUUUACUCCCUUCUCAUUCUAGUGAGAGGAAACAACUUGCUCCCACUCCACACUCUUAAUCACAAGAUUCUCACUUCUCAAUAUUCCCACUAUAAUUUAAAAUGUAAACACCGUUUAAAACAUCAAAUAAAAUUCUCAAUUAAGUAAACCAUAAUGUGAUUGCAUAUAAAAAAAAAUUAAUAAUAUUAAUUUUCAUAAGAAUUUAUGCUCGUAGUAUUACUUUACUUUUUAUUAACCGUUGCUUCAACUUAUGGUAGAUUGUAACAUAUGCACUUUAAUUUUCUUAAUUAAGUGUAUUAUUUAAUUUUUCUCAUUCGAUGUUAAUUUUAAAUUUGUUUUGACAUAAAAUUGAGACAAUUCGAAUACGAUUCAAUGGCCGUGUAGCUGGAUUUUAUUUCAACAUGGGUCAGGCAUUAGCUUAGUUAGUAGUAAUCUUUAAAAAAAAAAAGCUAGUUUAUAUAAAUGGAAAAGGGGGAGCUGAUUUCCAAAAGAGGAAAGAAAGAGGGGCACGCGAGAGAAAAGGAGAGAGAGAGAGAGAGAAGUUGACCCGUUUAGCCCGACCCGACCCGACCCACAAGACCGACCCGGCUCCAACUCCCGUUUCUGGCCACCAUUCCAAUCAAGCUUGGUACCAAUCUGAAGCUUGAGCGACGCUGGCCAUAUCCCCGCUGUCAUCGUCACCGAAAAACAGCCACAACGCCGGUGAUCAUCGUCAAUCUCGCUGGAAUUAGGUUGCACCACCGGCUGGGUUCGACUCCUCACAUCACCAGCUUUCAUUUCCGACUAACCCCGCCACCUGAAACCUUUGUUUUGGCCCUGAAUGACCACCGGAAAGCUCACGGCUUUGGGAGCACGAUCCGCCGCCAUCUCCGCGUGUGGGAGGUCACCGUCGACGCCAUUGGGCUCACCGAGGUCAGAACUAUCAUACUUGAGCUUUCCGUCGCCGUUGACUGAAGUCCGGUCACCGUUGAGCAGUGGGGGCAAUUUGGUAAUUUCACAAGACUUUAAGGUGGAUUUUUAAUUUGGUAAUUUUAGGUUAGGGCAAUGAGGUAAUUUAAGACUUUGAGGGUAAUUCGGUAAUUUAAGUUAUUAAGAGCAUUUUGGUAAUUUCGCACUUUGAGGGUAAUUUCUUAAAUUCAAAACUUGUGAUUAAUUUUGUUAUCCGAAUUGAGGACAAUUUGGUAGUUUAAGAUAUUGAAGAUGAUUCGAUAAAUUAUGAUUCCGAUGGUACUUCGGUAAAUUUCGGUGUCAGGGGCAUUUUGGUAAUUUUUGGACAUAAGGGUAAUUUUGAAAUUUUAUGUAUCCGGGAGUUUGGUUUUGAGCUUUAUUUCAUACUGUUAGUCGUAUUUCAUGAUACAGAUAAUAAUUAUGUCGUUUAUUUAAUUAGGAGGACUCGCGAGCAAAAAUCAACCAGCGGACGUUACAUACUGUUAGUCGUAUUUCAUGAUACAGAUAAUAAUUAUGUUGUUUAUUUAAUUAGGAGGACUCGCGAGCAAAAAUCAACCAGCGGACGUUAGUGAUACCGAGUCUGGACAUCGUCACUGUGACUGGAAUAUACAAAACUUAUUUUCAUGGUAUAUUCUGAUUUUACCAUACAGUACAACAUGUUUUGAUAAUAAGUAUUUGAUGCUUUGAUUUAAUGAUUUUCUAGAAAUUUGAUUUUCAUUCUACGUGCUGAUAUUUAUUAUUAUUGAAAAUGAGUUUGAUUAAUGAUUUUAUUAUCAUUUUUUUUGAGUAAAUGCAUGAUAUUAGAAUUGAGUGGAUUUGAGAUAUGUUGAAUAAAAAGGAAAUGGGAUUUUAUAUGUGAUUAUAUGUUUGCGUGCAUGUGCAUAAAAGAUUGUUUGGAAAAUCAUUGGAAGUACCUUUCCCCUUUUAGAUACAGAGAUACAUAUAAUAUGAGAUGAAUACAGUGAUACAGAUGAUAUGAGAUGAGAGGUUUUUGGGGCCCGUCUGAACACACACAAAGACUUUGGGCCGUGUGUUUGGGCGCUUUUUCCUUUUGGGGGCUUAUGCAUACAGUAUGAUGAUUACAUAAAUACAGAUGUUGAGAUACAUGAGAUAUGAGAUGACAUUUUCCUAUAUAUCCAUUGUAACUCCAGGGCAUGAUGGUUCCCUGAUUGUCCGUCCGUCGAGGUCCGAAUAUGAUGAGAUUAUUCCGCUGGAUACUUGUUUGAUGAUAGUUUUUUGUAUCUAGUAUUUGAUAUUAUAAGUAUUAUGAUUUCAUUGAUUUUAUGCAGAUUUAUGUAAUAUUGUUAUUUCAGUGCAUGAAUUAAAUUAAAUAAGUUUAUGUAAGUUCUUAUGAUAUUUUGAUGAAAUUAACUUGGAAAAGAUUAAAUCAUUUUAAAUAAAUUUAUUUUUCCAAAAACUACUAUCCACUCACUGAGCUCACUGAGUUUUAUACUCACCCCGUUUUUAUUAUAUUUUUCCUCCUAUAGGAAAUUUGCAGGUACAUCAGUCGACCCAGCAACGAUAGUUAGAUUGAAAUUAUGGCCACGUGAUGGUGUUAGAAAUCAUAGAUGUUUUGUUGGGACAUGUUGAAUUGUAUAAUUUAUUACUUAUUUGUGAUUAAGGAUAAAUCAUUAUAUUCUUGACAUUAUAUGAUUGAAGGAUACUGAUAUUUAAAUUGAGGAAGUUGGUUGUGGAUGUUGAUUAAAUAUUGUAUUAUUUUUGGGAGUAUUAAUUGUAUAAAUUGUAGGUUUGGGGAUGUCAUAAUUAUAUAGAAAACUGUCGAAUUUUUUGUAAAAUUCUUAGAUAUCAGAAUUAUUAUUAGUUUGAUUAGGCGAGAUUAGAUAGACUCGUCCUGGGGAUUCGGGGCGGGUCGUUUCAUAGAUAUUAAGAGAACAAUAAUAAUAUAGCUAUAAAUGGUUGCAUACUAUCAAUCAACUUAACACUAUAAUUACCAACAAAUCCUUAAUACUAUAAAUAAUUAAAUUAUUGGGGUUUUAAAAUAACUCUCCAAACUUUGCAUGAUUUCUUUAUAUGUAGGUGCCAUGGUUCCUAUAAGUAAUAUCAGCCACACUUUUUGUUAUUGUUAAAACAAAUUUAUAAGUACAAUUUGUGAAUUUGUACAAAAUGUGGUAUUAUACAUUUGAAGCAUGAACCGAGAAGACAAUGUUGUGUCACUAAUAAAGAAAAAAAAAUUGUAUAAACUACAGAUGUUGUAGUGUAACUUGUAUUCUUUUUAUUUAUAAUUGUACCUAUCAUGUGAUUAUAAAAAAAACUGAGAUUUUAAAAUUUUGUAAUUGCACUAUUUUUGGAUUAUCAGAAGGCUUCCUCUCCUUAGUGAUGCCCUUAAUCCAUAAAUGGUCCAAAAAAUAAUUCAUGAAAUGAAUUUAUUAUUUUAGAUAAGUUUCAAGUACGCAUACCUUUACUAGCUCCAUAUUGCAUAACUCCUCAUUUCAAUCAAUGGAUACAUUUGUUUACUUUUUCUUUCUUGUAAAUUUUUGAAUGGCCACAAUUCUAUAGAUAAUUAAUUAAGUGUUAUUGUUAUCAUUAUUUUGUAGAUUUAUAUGUGAGGUGGGGACGUUGGGGGGCAUGUAUCUCAAUAUAGCAGAGGGCCAUAAUAUUUAUUCUUUAAGAGGAACCACAACCAACAUCAAUGCUUUAAGUUCCAUUCCAUGUUCCUUCUAUGCACCAGAUUGCAUAAACAACAUUGAUUAUCCAAGGUCAAAGUCUCUCAAAGACUCUAGUUACAAUACAAAGCAUGGGUUAGCGGCCAAAAUUUUCUUGCAAUGAAAGGCUCGUAAACUGAUGAUAGCUGUUGGAUGGUUUUGGGCCCCAAUGGUUUUAAUAUUAUUCUCUUAAAAACAUAUAUGUUGAUUAGAGACGAGAGGAAAAAGAUAAUCUGAUUCAGCAAGCUGCAGAGGAAAGAGCACGCAGUGGAGUUCAGAUUUUGAAUUCUCUUGUUAAAUUGUUUUUAAUUUACUACAAGGUAGAAUACGUUGCAGUGUUAAAAAAACACUUUGAACAUCCUAUUUUUGUAUUACAAAUAUACCAAGAUUUAAAUUAUUAUUUUUCUUUAUUAGUAUAAACUAAAUUUUGCCUGAAUUCUCAUCCUUGUAAGUGGAAUUUUAUUGUGAAACUAAUAGUCAUUCCUAGUUGAACUAUCACUUUGAACAUAUGUGUCCUCUCUAAUAACAGCUUCCAAACCUGCAGCUACCUGCUUCUCAGCAUUAGAAGUAGCCAUAAUUAGGAGGAGGGCAAACUUCCAAAUAACAUUCCAAAUGGUAUUGUGAAAAAAUUUCACCCUUUUGGUAAUAAAAAAUAACCUUAUUUCUAACUUUCUAUUAACAAUCUUACCACAAAGUUCUCUCUCAAGUAGAAACAUUAUAUAUAUAUAUUAAUUUUUUGUUAAAAUAAACAAAACCAGUGGCGGAUCUACAGCUGGGCUAGGUCUAGAAAAAAUCAUUUAAACCCCUUGUCUUUUGAUUCAUUUUACAUAAGGAUAGACUUUUUAUUUUAUUUUUAUAUAAGUCCCCAAUUCAGUUACAAUUAUGUUUUUGUCAAAUUUCAUAGAAUAAUAGAGUUUUUACUUUAUUUUCAAAUAUUUCCUUAACUCAAUUAUAUUUUUUUCCCAACUGAAAUUAAUGACUUAUUUUAUAAAAUAAUUAAAUUAUAUAUUUAUUGAAUAGAUUGAAAACAUUAGGGGUUUAAAAUGUUAUUUUUAAUUUGUUUUUAAAAAAUUUAAUUUAACAAAGUAUGUGAAUGUAAUAUAACAUCGUCACUAUUAUUAAAAAUACUAAAAACAUAUAUAAUAAAAAUUAUUCAUAAAUUCAUAAAUUUUUUAUGUAAAUGUUAACAUUUUAUUUAUUAUUUACAUUAACUUAGAGGAUAAGUUAGAAAGUAAAAUUUGAGUAUUUUAAUCUGAUUUUUUAAAGAGAGUCAGAGUGUCUGGCAAAGAAAUAACAGCACGCAAGUACCUUUUUGCUAGGUUAGAGUUUAGUUUAUUAUUGAAACUCUUGACGACUAAUAUUUUUAUAAUUUAAAAAGAUGAAUAGAUUUUAAUUGUUUAAUUUAUUUAAGCUUGGUAACUAAGGUGGCAUUUGUUUUUUAACUUAAUGACUUAAAGUGACUUAACUUAAUUAAUUAAGUUAAUUAGAAGUGUUUGUUUUUAUAACUUAGACUUUUUAGAUAAUUUUGACUUAAUAAAAUAAGUCAAUUUUUUUGGCUUUUUACUUAAUGGAGAAAUUUGAAUUAAGUCAAUUACUUACUAAUGUCAAAAAUAUCCAUGUUUUAUAAUUUAUUUUUCAUAUCUAUCCCAAAACUCACCCAUAGAACAUUUACCCCACAUAAAAAUAUCCUUAUUUUUUAUUUCUUAUAUUAUAUACGAUAAAAUUUGAAAUUUAUGGUAUUUUAUACGAAUGUAAAAGUACAUAUUUUUAGCUUUUUCAGUUGAAAAAAACAAACAACUUAAUACUUAUUUUCCGAGAUUCAGACGAAAAAACAAACAUAUUAUUCAGAUUCAGACAUACAGAUCUAUUCAGAAUUCAGACUAAUUCAGGUCUAUUCAGAUUUCAGACAAAAAAACAAACGCCACCUAAGUAUUUUUCAAACAUAAAGUUGUACUUGCACUUUUUAAAUGAUUAUAAUUACAUUUAUUGACUUAUUCUAAUUUAAAAUUCUUAAUAGAUUUAUUAAUUCUUAUAUAAUUAGAUGUUAUUAUAGGUUGCAAUGUUAGAUUUAAUAAUUAAAAAUAGUAUUUUUAUAUUUGAAUUAUCUUUUGUUUUUUAGUAUUUUUGUACAAUUAUUUUUGUUUAGAGUAUAUAUUCGUAGAGUUUUUCGUGUCCCCAUUAUUUGAUGUACUUCUUUUUACUUAUGAAUAUUUAUGUUCACUUCAAAAUAUAAAAUUUUAAAUUUAGCCCGGGGUAAUAUAAAUUCUUAGGUCCGCCCCUAAGCAAAACUAAAUAUUUAUGACUUAAAAGAUAGGUGUUGAACAGAGGCAGUCUCACAGAAAAAAAAAAAAAGUAUUUGAAAGCAGUGGUGAUAUCAUAAUUUUUUGUAUUGAUACGAGAGUAUCAUACUAGAUUUUUUUCCGCAAUACAAAAAGUUUGUAUUCAAGAAUAAAUAAGCAAUUUCGGGAACAAAUUUUACAAAAAGCCUCGAGGCCAUGUCGUAUGAAUUUGUGAUACCAAAAAUAGUAUACUAGUCAGUAUAUCUUCUUUCCACAUUACAAAAAAUUAGAAAUGCAAUCUAAAUCGAUAUCAAUUAAUAAUUUUAUAGUACACGAAAUCAAGGUAUUUUUUCAUAAUUUAAGAAAUUAUUAGUCAUUUACCCUAAAUUUACUUUGUCUCCAAAAAUACUACGAAAACUUUAACUUGUUUAGUUUUUUACCUUAAUUUAUAAUUUAUAUCAAUCACUCACUAAAAAGAUAAAAUUAGCUCAUAAAAUGACAAAAUAAAAACAAACACAAAUGACAAUACCAGUAAUUUUAUAAGGAUAAUCAAGUCCUUUUGGCACCAAAUUACGUAUUAAAAUAAUUUAAAUAUUAUAAAUUAUUUUCAGAUUGAGUGAGGAACCCUGGUCAUUUUAACAAUUAUGGUCAUUUAAUCUAUCUAAACAUGAUAUUUCAAGUAGACUUAUGUUUGCGUGAGAGGAUAAUGUAAAAAAAGUGGCACUUUUAUUCAACUGAAUAAAUUUCACAAUUUAAAUUAGAAAAGGAUAAAAUUUAAUAAUUAACUAUUUUUUGAACUAAUUCAAUCGGGAGCCAUUAUUUGUAGGCUGUAGCGGUCCCAAAAGCAUGACAUUAUUGUGAGUAAUGUAUCCUACUUGCAAAAUAAACGGCAGAAUGCGGUUUGGGGACGGAUUAUCGAGGUAUUUGUUAAUAUUCGGAAAUGAGAAGAAAAGGUCAAAUAAAAUUUUAACUUAUUAUUAUUAUUAUUAAAGAUUGUAACUCAGAUGAUUAGACAAAUAAAGGAGCUAAAGGCCACUUGGCGGCUUCACUAGGAGCUGUUUGAGUUUAAUUCUAUUGGUAAAAUUCUAUUUUGGUAAUUCUAUUCUUCUUCUUUUCAACCCCAAAUAAUCAAAAGCUCUCCAAUGGCUUUCGUAUCCACAACUCGUCCAUUUCAUUUUACUUCAAUUUCAGUAUCAGCUCUUAGAUGUAAUUUCUCAUCUUCGUUCCCUCAUACCAGAAAACCCACAUCUUCAAUUUCGGAAAAUGAACCCUCAUAUCCGACCGCAACAGCUAAACUGAAGGAGUCGCUACGACUGACAGUCAAAGACGGAGCCUCACUCGAAAAAUUUCUUAAAGAAAGGUGCAAAUCAUCAGGUCAAGGUGAUAUUAAUCUUAUUACUCCUAAUGAAGCCUUGUGUAUCUUUGAUUACAUGCUCCGUAUGCACCCUUCUCCGCCUCCUGUCUCUUCCUUCAAUAUUUUGUUUGGUUGUCUUGCUAAGAAUAAACAUUAUGAUACUGUCCUUUCACUCUUCAAGAGACUCAAUUCAAUUGGGUUGUUUCCAGAUCUUUAUACUUAUAGUAUCUUGAUUAACUGCUUUUGCAAAAUGGGUCGAGUUUCUCCUGGUUUUGUUGUUCUUGGGAGAAUCCUCAGGUCUUGUUUUACUCCAAAUGCUGUGACCUUUACUUCUUUGAUUAAAGGUUUGUGUGCGGAGGGUAGAAUCAUGGAGGCCGCUGCAUUGUUUAUGAAACUUAGAGUGUUUGGUUGUGAGCCUAAUGUUUUUACAUACAAUACUUUGAUUAAUGGAUUGUGUCGAACUGGCCAUACAAUUGUUGCUCUAAAUUUAUUUGAAGAGAUGGCUAAUGGAAAUGGGGAAUUUGGUGUUGUUUGUAAGCCAAACACUGUUACAUACACUACUAUUAUCGAUGGUCUUUGUAAGGAAGGUUUUGUGGACAAGGCCAAGGAACUGUUUCUGAAGAUGAAGGAUGAGAAUAUUAACCCCAAUGUGGUUACUUAUAACUCUUUGAUUCACGGUUUUUGUUACGCUAAUGAUUGGAAUGAGGCGAAGUGUUUGUUUAUUGAGAUGAUGGACCAAGGGGUACAGCCGAAUGUUGUGUCUUUUAAUGUGAUCAUGAAUGAGCUUUGUAAAAAUGGGAAGAUGGACGAAGCAAGUAGGCUGUUAGAAUUGAUGAUUCAGAUUGGUGUGCGUCCAAAUGCUUUUGUCUAUAACACAUUAAUGGACGGGUUUUGUUUGACAGGUAGAGUUAAUCGUGCGAAGGAACUAUUUGUUUCUAUGGAGAGUAUGGGUUGCAAACAUAAUGUUUUUAGUUACAGUAUUUUGAUAAAUGGUUACUGCAAGAAUAAGGAAAUAGAGGGAGCGUUAAGCCUUUAUAGCGAAAUGCUCUCUAAAGGUAUUAAGCCAGAUGUUGUUAUAUAUAACACCUUGUUUAUUGGCCUUUUUGAAAUACACCAGGUUGAGCGUGCUUUCAAGCUGUUUGAUGAGAUGCAACGUCAUGGCGUGGCAGCUGAUACCUGGGCGUAUAGAACCUUUAUUGAUGGGCUCUGCAAGAAUGGUUAUAUUGUAGAGGCAGUUGAACUAUUUCGUACUUUGAGAAUUCUCAAGUAUGAACUUGAUAUUCGAGCCUACAACUGCCUCAUUGAUGGAUUAUGUAAAUCCGGCAGACUCAAAAUUGCAUGGGAACUAUUUCGUAGUUUGCCUCGUGGAGUCCUAAUAGCAGAUGUUGUAACAUAUAACAUCAUGAUCCACGCGCUUUGUGCUGAUGGAAAAAUGGACAAGGCACGUGAUUUGUUUCUGGAUAUGGAAGCAAAAGGUGUAGCACCCAAUUGUGUCACAUUUAACACGCUGAUGCUAAGUUGCAUCCGCAAUAAUGAGACAUCAAAAGUUGUUGAACUCCUUCACAGAAUGGAUGAGAGAAAUGUAAUACCAGAUGCAUCUACACUUUCAAUUGUUGUGGACUUACUUGUAAAGAAUGAAAUUAGCUUAAACUCGAUUCCACAAUUCAAGAGUCAAAGGUAAGUGAGUUUAAUAUUGAUUUAGUCGCAUGUUUUUUCUGCCUGAAAACCCCGAUCUGGAGGAUCCCAUUCUUAUUAACACAUGUAAAGGAGUGUUGUCUAAUGUUGGCAUGUUCCUAGGUUCUGUCCAUGGAUUCUGUUUGCGGACAUGGCUAACUUCUUGUCCAACAGAUAAGUUUUAAAGUCUUUCAACUUUAUGUUGUAAAAUAACAUUUUUAUUAUUCAAUUCAUGAGUUUUCCUUCUGUAUCACAUACUUCUCAUUAGCUGGAAGCGCAAAUUUUUUAGGCUUUUCCUGUAUGGCCUCUUUUUCUGCUCUAAAUAAAAUGGCAUUUUAUUUCUCUCUUGUGAGGGUACAAGGUUUAUGUUUAAACUUUCUGUUAGUUAAUUUGGUUGUCUUUGAUAUAGGGAACUUCCAGUUGAACUGAUUUGUAAUUCGAGUAUAUGAGAUUACCAACUGUAUUGGGAAUUGAUGCCAAAUUAAUUAUGUCAUCAGGUUUUUCAAUCAGUGUUCAUCAUUUAUUUCUGUUAACAAUUAAUAGCACAGCUUGACUUCUCAGCUUCAUUGGUUCCUCUCAAAAAUAAUCUUGUAAAGACAAUCUUUCUUGGGCAUGGAAAAUGCUAGAUUGUUACAUGGCAUUCAAUUGAAUGAGGACUCAUGAUUGUGUGUAUUGGUAUUUGUUAUACUAUGUAUUGGCAAGACAAAGUUUCUUGAAACUGACAAACUUUUCUCUAUGAAGAUUGAAGAAAAUAUGAUAAGAUAAAAUUUAUCAAAAGCAUAUAUGCUUGCCAGGGAUGGACCUUUGAUUAUUAGUCCUCGCCUUUCGUGCUUGUCUGUUCUGUGAAAUAAUUCAUUCUCCAUGCUGCUAGGGCCUAGGCUUAUGACUCUUCUUUGAAAUAAUUCAUUCUCCACAAUGUGAAAAAAAUGCUUGAAACACGACACAGACUUAACUGUUUACAGGAAAAGCGGCAGAAACUUGUGAAAUUACCGAUUAAAAAGUACCUACCAUGAGGAAGAUGCUAUACAACUCACUCGGAAAAUGUAAAAUGGUUAACAGACAUCCAAGAUGAUCAACCAGAAACACAAUUCAGAACAUGGGCUGCUUUUGGUUACCCGGCUUUCAGAUUAGGAGAUUAGGAUCCUAAAUGCUUUGAUCUACCUGAAAAGUAUACAAAUAUCAGAGUUAAAACAGAGCAGAUGAAAACGUAUUGAUGAACUCAACUGAGAUAAAUGACAAAAGAAAACUAACUUUUCCUGUACAAAACUCGCACACCUUCCUUUAAGAGCUGACUUUCCAAGAAGAGAUCACCACAAUCGUUCACAUCAACAGUCUCCACUUGAAAAUUUUUAUAACCACAAUAGUCAUUCCAUUCAAACCACAUCCUUGAGAUCAGUUCCUUCUUCAAGCAAGUAGGAUGGUCUUCCUCUUGAGGAGGCUCAGCAGCAACCAAUCUAUAUGCAUAAACUUUCUUUGUUUGGCCUGGCCGGAAAGGCCUGCCGAUUGCUUGGCGGGUUUCUGAUGGAGUAAAGGUAACAUCCAGAAUAAUGAUCCAAAUUUUUGUGGACUUACAUGCAAAGAAUGAAAUUGGUUUAAACUCGAUUCCACAAUUCAAGAGUUAAUGAGUUUAUCUUGAUUCUGUAGCAUGUCUCUUCUGCUUUAAAACCAGAUCUGGGGAAUCCCAUUCUCAUUACAACAUGUGAAGGAGUGUUUGUGUAUUGUUGGCAUGUUCCCAGGUUCUGUUCACGGAUUCUGUUUGCAGACAUGGCUAACUCCUCGUUUCAUCAGAUAAGUUUCAAAGUCUGGCAACUUUUUGUUGUAAAAAUAACUAUUUCAUUAUUCAAUUCAUGAGUUUUCCUUCUAUGGUGCAUCUUUCUCAUUAGCUGUAGUUUCAAAAUUUUUAGACUGAUUUGUAAUUCGAGUAUAUGAGAUUACCAACUGUAUUGGGAAUUGAUGCCAAAUUAAUUAUGUCAUCAGGUUUUUCAAUCAGUGUUCAUCAUUUAUUUCUGUUAACAAUUAAUAGCACAGCUUGUCUUCGCAGCUUCAUUGGUUCCUCUCAAAAAUAAUCUUGUAAAGACAAUUUUUGUUUUUUGGCAUGUUAAAUGCUAGAUUGUUUGUGUGUAUCGGUAUUUGUUAUACUAUGUAUUGGCAAGACAGUUUCUUGAAACUGACAAACUUUUCUCUAUGAAGAUUGAAGACAAUAUGAUAAGAUAAACUUUAACAAAAGCAUAGAUGCUUGCCAGCGCUGGACCUUUGAUUAAUAGUCCUCGCCUUUCGUUCUUGUUUCAUAUUCUUCUGCUAACAAAUCUUGAUCAUGAUUGUCUUCUCUUUUCUUUGCAACCCACAUAUAAAGUCUCGGCCAUAAGCCUCGAGGCCUAUUCUCUUUUGUAAAGGUGAGUUGAAGAAACUGCAAGGGACUCCAAAGCAAAUGGUGUAGAGCACCUUUCACUUAUCACGGGCACAGGAUUACUCUGACUUUCUGCAUUUUACUGUUGGCUAUGGUUUGAUGCAUUAUUUAUUGUUCUGAAAUACCAUUCUCGUUGGAAGUUCAAUCAUUACUGUUUCUUUUUUCCCCCCUUUUUACUUGAAGUUACCUGAAGCUCCAAUCGAACGAGUAAUGUAAUGUAGGUGUUGACCAACUCCAAAUAAGUAGUUAGUUGCCUAGUAGUUGCUUUGCAUGAAAUAUGUUUUUGGUAUGAAUAAUGUUGUCUUAAUUUUACAAGCUUCCAUGGAACUCCUAAUUUGUUGGAAGUAUUAACUCAACCCGUCAUUUAAGGUUAGAUUUAACCAUUGACUUAUGUUGACUAUUAAAAGUAUUAUAAUAUUCUAUAAAUAUAACGAAACCCCCCUUUAUUAACAAAUAUAAUUUAAAAUAUAAAAAAUUAAUAAUAAAAAAUAACAAAGUUGAAAUCCAAGGAGCAACUUCUAUCCCCUAACCAAGUUAUUAAAUAUUAGAGUAGAUAGAGGCAUAUACUUUUCUUCAUGAUUCAGAAUCAUAUCUCAAAUAAAAUUCUCAAUGAUUGCAGGCCUCAAUACCAUUAAGAUGAACUAGACUAUCAUGAAAUUUUGUGCAUCUUGCAAGGUCCAAUUUCUCCAAGUUUAUCAUCAAGCCAAAAAAUGUCAUAAUUCCUUUUAUAGUAAUUUCAUAGUGUUUACUAAACGGUAAUAGAAAUGGACUGAAACACAAAUAGGGAAUGCAAGUUAGAAUAAGGAUGGCAAUGGUGAGGGGGGAGGGGACCAACAUCCUUGUACCCAUCCCUGAUGUUCUGUAUAUGUCCCCAUCCCCUUCCCGUCCCCAUCAAAAUUACUUAAGGGAAUUCACGUCCUCCCUCUGAAUAAUAACAGGGAAUCCCCAAAGGUCCCCGAUCCCCAAAUAACUGAUAUAUUUGUUUAGUUUUCAAACUUAAUUUAAUCAUAUUAAGCUAAAAAUAUAUAAAAUAAAAUGAAAAUGAUCAUGAAUGCGCCUUAUAUUUCAUUCAACUCCUUCAAACUUUUGGUAUAUAUAAUAUUCAAAUAAUGAUUUUCAAAACAAAAUUCAAAUAAUGUGAUUUUUAUACAAUAUUGACGUGAUUGUUGUCCAUGAGUAACGAUACCUACUGAUCACCGACUAUGAUGCAACAAAGCCGCAUGUGUGGCUGCUAGUUGACAUUGCGAUGAGUUAGUGUAACCCCCACUUUUAUUUAUUUAUUUUUUUCCUCUUUUGCCCUUAUUAAACUGAGUAGGAUAGUUAUUAUUGAGUGUUUGUGUGUGAGUAAAAUUUAUCGGAUUGUUUUAAAUAAGUUACGUAAGUUAUUUUUUUAAAAAAAAAAUAUUUAUUAAUUACCAAGUAUUUAAGAGAAAACCAUAUUUUUAAGAAGCCGUUUUUUAUUUUUCUUACACCGUUACAAACCCUAGAAAGAAAAGAAAGAAAUAUAAGUCUUUGCAAAAGGAAAAGAAAGUUUUAUCACUUCUUUUCUUAGUGUUUGCUUUAAGGUAUUAAGUAUUUCUUCGACUUAUAUGAUUUAUUUUUAUGAAAUUGUUUGCAUUUAAUUACUUGUAGUAUGAAUUGGGUAAUAUAUGUGUUUGUAAUGUUGUGAUGAUAUGAACAGUCUCUAUUCCUUGCUUGAAAUCGUUUUCUUUAUUUAGAAUCACGUGAAUAUCUUACAUAUCAUGGAACUAGACAUCCUAGGCUUUCCAUUGAUAGGUUUUGUGUUGAAAUCGCCUGAGAAUGCAAAUUCUUAUGGGUUUUCGAAGUUGGGUUACUGGUGCUGGAAAAUUCCGAUUUUCAGCAGCGGUUCUCAACUCUGGAAAUUUUUCUAUAAGGUUACACAUCCUUAAAAAUUAUGCUGAUUUUUGUGCCAACAGAUCUAUGUCUCCUAUGCUUGCAUGUUUAAUUUCGUAGUUUUAUUCUUUAUGGUUGAAUUAUUAAAAAUCGUAACAUAUGGCUGCUGCAAAUCUGGAGACUGUUAUCCAGAAUUUCAGAAGCUGAAACGUGUAACAGUUGAGCUAGUUUAUGAAUAUUACAUGCCAUGUUAGGAUUUUAUAAUGAAAUUUCAAUCUUUCCUCUGUCUUUAAAAACUGGAAUCGCGAUUUUUGGGCAUGUAAAAUAAAAGAUACGAAUUUUUGAAAUUCUGUUUUCAAAUCUGGAAUUUUCUGGACGGGUUAGAUGUUCUCGGAAAUAAAACGUUUUAAAAUAGUCUCAGGAGUCCAAAAAUUAUGAAUUUUAAUUAUAUGCUUUUUGAAUGUGUCUUCUGUAAUUAGAAAAAAAGAUGCAUAUUACUUCGAGUACCAAAGAAUAUUUUAUGAAUUUUCUAAGUGGAAAAGGUCUGUUUUGGUCAGUGCUGGACAGUUUUGUUACUUUGGUGAAAGGUCAAUAUUCUGACUCGAUUUUGACUUGUGCUGAUUUUUGUGAAAUAUUGUAUGCAAUGCUAUGCAUGUUCACAGUGCCUCUGUAAAUUUUCAUGGUUUUCCGACAUGUGUAUAGGUUAUUAAAAAUCAUCAUGUGCAGGAUACUCAUAAGUAUAGGAUAUGUUUAGAAUAUGUAUAAGUAUUAAGCUAGUAUUAGUGUCUAUGAUUUAAGGAUGAUUGGGAUUAUAUUUAAGGUUAGAGAUGAUAUUGAUAAGAAUAUUUUUAUGAUGAUUAUAGGACGUGGGUGAGCUCGUUGGUUGUUCUUGAGGUAUUGAAUUGAUUGCUACGGAUCGAGGUAAGUAGAUUCAUGCAUAAUGUGCUUUAUAAUAAAUGCAAUUUAUGUUACAAAAAUUAUGUUUAAAUGGAAAUUUUUACAAAACUGAUUUCUAAAAUAUUUAAAUGAAUUUUGUAAAAUAAAAACACUUUUAAAUGAAUUUAUAUAAAUGAAUUUUAAAAUGAAUUUUUCUUAAGAAAUGAGUUUUCUUAAACAAAAUAUUUUCUUAAAGAAUUUUCUAAAAGAAUUAAAUGAUCAAAGAAAGGUUCUUAAAUGUUUUAGAAAACUUUAAAAGCUAUUUAUGAAAGGAUUUAAGGUGGAUUCAAAAUGUUUUGGCUUAUAGUCCGUAGUAAUGUAUACAAUGGAAAUGUUAUGAUGUUAUGUAAUAUUAUGGUCAGCUUGCUGGUACGAUGAUGGUCUUGUGCACAAGGAUGUUAUGAACAAUGUGGGACAUAGUACCCUAAAUGAGGAACAAUGCGGGGUAUAACACCCUAAAUGAUGAAUGAUGAUGAUUAUGAGGCAUGAGCUACCAAUGUUUACGCUUUAAUGUUUUCAUAAAUGUUUUAAUGUUUUUAUAUGAAUCCACCCCUUAUGUUAAAUGAAGAUGUUGUUAUAAAAUGUUUAAAGGUAUAUGACAAAGGUUUUCAAAUAUUGUGCAUGGAUUUGAUUACCGAGUUGACGGCUCACCCCUCGUCUCCAAUAUUUUACAGAUUGAUUAGAGAUAUGGCUUGGGUUCUUAGACGGAGAAUUUUUCUUAGUGGAUCUUUAGAGUUGUUUUAAAGAUUAAAUUUGGCUAGACUUCCUAUUUUGCAUUAGAGACUUUUCUUUGGAGACCUUAUUUCAUAUGUUUUAUGUAAGGAUUCAGUUGGAGUAUGAAUAAUGAUUGUUUAUCUUGAGAUUUAUUAAUAAGAAUAAAUGAUGUGAGGUUUCAUUCCAAUUUUACCCUUGUGUUUUCAUGAGUAAUUUUUGGGGUGUUACAGUUAGGCUACUCGGACACCGACAACGCAAUGUGCUACUGGGCUAUGAUGAGAUGAAGACGAGUUGCGUGCUUACUACUGCAUGAAUAAUUUGGAAAUUAUGAGCAAGACUGUGAGAAAGUGAUUUAGAGUUUGAUUUGUGAGUUAUGAGCUUGUGGGAUUGUGUGCUUUUGGUUGUAAUUAAGUCUAAAUUAUAUUAAACAUUUUAUAUUAACUAAUAUUUGUAUUAUUUGUAUAAAUAUUUUGAUAUUUGUUAUUUACACCAAUAUUUUAUAUUUUACAAUUUAAAAUUUAUUAUUUAUUGACUAAUAAUUCUAAAAAAAUAAAAAUAAAAUAAAAUAUUAAAAUAGGGAAAUGGGGAGGGGACGGGGAUUCCACCUCAUCCCCAUCCCUUCCCUGAAUAAGUAAUUGGGUAAAAAAUCGUCUUCGUCCCUUCCCCGAAUAAGAAGUUUGGCAUAAAAUCGUCCAUGUACCCUCCCCAAAUAGGAAAAAUCUCCAAGGGCCCCCAUCCCCAUGGGGAUUCCUGCCAUUUCUAAAUUAGAAUAAAUUAUUUACUUGAACUGUAGGAAUCAGAAUAAAAAUAAGCUGGAUUGUCAUUGAUGUGUCUAUUUUGUCUUGGAAUUGAAAUCAAAAUGAGUUACAUUUUAACAACUUACUAAAAAGUGCUUAAUGAGCUAUUGUCAUAAUUAUUAUUUUAUAUUUUAAUUAUGGUAAUUAUUUAUUCAAAAAUUAUAAUAAUUAUUAUUGUUAAUAAUAUAUUCAUAUAUUAAUUAAUUGAAAAUUAUUUAAAUUAAUUAAUUAUUAAUAUAUUAAUUGAUUAAUUAUAAUAAUACAUUAAUUAAUUAUAACUGAGGACAAAAUAAAUAUUUUUUAUUUUGUGAGGGGGCAAAAUGGUCAUUCCAAGGAAUGGGAGACUAAUUCCCGCCUCCCUUGGGAAUUAAUCUUCCAUUUGCCAUAAAAAAAAAAAAGCUUUCUAACAAGAUAUCAAAAUGGUUAAUAAGAAGAGCAGUAGUAAUGGGGUAAAAGCUCGUUUAGUCCCUAUAUUUUGAGGUUAGUACUUGUUUAGUCCCUAUAUUUUUAAAAAUGCUUCAAAACAUCUUUGUCGUUAAAUUAUUGACACCCCUGUCUUUACUUUGUAUUCCUUUUAGCUUACUUUUACAAUAUUACCAUUUUUGCAAUAUUGUUUAAUUUUUUGGACAUUAAUAAUAAAUAAAAUUACCAAUUUAACCCCAAAAAUAAAAUAAAGACAAAGAAAAUAUAUAUUAAUCUUUGUCGAAACUAUGUCAAAAAAAUAAAUAUUGUAAAAAAAAUUUAACUACUAAUUUUUUAGACAUUAAUAAAAAAAUUAAUAUAUUAAUUCCUCGUGGAGUAUUCAAAAAAAUUAAUAUAGAUUUUUUUUUUGUUUCUAUUUUACUUUUUUGGGUUAAAUUGAUAAUUUGAUUUUUCUUGUUAUUAAUGUGCAAUAAAGAAUAAAUAUUAUUGUACGGGGGUAAUAUUGUAAAAGUAAGUUAAAAAGAACAAAAAAUAACGGUAAGGGUGUCAAUAUUUAACGAUAAGGAUGUUUUAAGGCAUUUUUAAAAAUAUAGAGACUAAAUAGGUAUUAAUCUCAAAAUAUAAGGAUUAAACGAGAUUUUACCCUUAAUAAUGUUACGAGGGGGUUCAAAUGGAGGGGGAUGGGUAUUUCCAAAUUUGUAUCCAUUAAUUUUUUUAAAACUCAUAUCUGUCACUUGUUAUUAUUUUAAGGGAAAUUAUCAGUCAUAUACCUUAAGUUGACAAAACACUUCUACCGUCCACCAUUCCUUUAACUUCCAUUUGCAAGCGUUGACUUCAUAAGGGUAAUUUAGUCUUUUAAGACUGACGAAACUUUGAUAAAAAAAACGGCAUGUCAUCCCAUUUACCGAAUAAAAAAUGACAUGUCAUAUGAUAUAUAUUGAUAAAAAUAACAUGUCAUUCCACUUAUCGGUUAAUUGUUAAUAAUUGCUAAAAAAAACUAUUUUACAACUGAAUCUACUCCUCCAAAAUUUAACUUAAAUUUUUGAAGAUCUACUCCUCCAAGCUCCAACUUGAAAUUUUUAUGGUAUAAUAUGUAUAAUUGUAAAUAAUAUGUUGUUAAUAAUUUUUUAUGGUAUAAUAUGGAUAUUUUUUAUGGAUAAUUGUUAAUACUAUGUACCAUUAAUAAUUCAUUUUUUAAUCAAAAAAUGUAUUGGUAAUAACAAAAUAAAAAAAAUUAUGUAUUGAAAAUUUACGUUAAUUUUUGGGAUAAAUUUAUUUUUUUUACCUCAUUUUGAGUUUUAAGGGCAAAAUAGUCAAUUUACCACAAUUCUGUUAACUUUCUAACAGAAGUUAAUAGAAUGGUGGACGGCAGAAGUAUUUUGUCAACUUAGGGUAUACGAGUAAUACACUUGAAAAGUAUUCACACACGUUUGAUACGGGUAUCAUUUAAGGGUAUAUAGCUGAUAAUUUCCCUUAUUUUAAAUAUCAAACUUGUCAACCCUUAGGGGAAACAAGUAUUUAACGGACUUUGUGCGGCUAAUUCUCAUCAUUCGCUACUCUAAAUUUUAUUUUACAGAUUUGUGCAUCAUUUAUAACAUUUAAUUAAAUACACUUAAAUUAUAUAGAUUCAACGGUUCAACCUUCAUAUAUCACAUGAAAAGAAUACUGAAUUUUUAACAUCUCUCAUCAAGAGAUUGUACUGUGCUUACUCAAUUAGAUACUAAGGUGGCGUUUUUUUUUUAACUUAAUGACUUAAAGUGACUUAACUUAAUUAAUUAAGUUAAUUAGAGGUGUUUGUUUUUAUAACUCAAUGAGACUUUGUAGAUAAUUUUGACUUAAUAAAAUAAGCUAAUUUUUUUUUGCUUUUUACUUAAUGGAGAAAUUUGAAUUAAGUCAAUUACUUACUAAUGUAAAAAAUAUUCAUGUUUUAUAAUUUAUUUUUCAUGUCUAUCCCAAAACUCACCUAUAGACAUUUACUCCACAUAAAAAUAUCCAUGUUUUUUCUUUCUUAUAUUAUAUACGAUAAAAUUUAAAAUUUAUGGUAUUUUAUAUAUUAAAAUUCUAAAAUAAUUAUGUAUUCACUUGAAUAUAGUUUUACUUAUAAAUGUUAAAAUAUUGUGGUAUUUAAUAUAUUAUUUAUUUGACAUUCAAAUUUGAUAUGGAUACAAAUGUAAAAGUACAUAUUUUCAGUUUUUUCAGUUGAAAAAAACAAACAACUUAAUACUUAUUUUCCGAGAUUCAGAUGAAAAAAUAAACAUAUUAUUUAGAUUCAGACAUUCAAAUCUAUUCAGAAUUCAGACUAAUUCAGGUCUAUUCAGAUUUCAGAUAAAAAAACAAACGACACCUAAGUUUAUACUCCAACUAAUGUGUUAAUAGUAUUUGAAUAAAAAAUGAUAAAACUUAAUAAUUAAUUAUUGCUUAAGUCAAUUAAAUAGUAUCAUAUCAUUUGUUAAAAAAAAAAAAAAUCUUUGUUGUUUCAAGAUUAUUAAUCCUUUUUCAUUUACUUAUUAUCAUUACUAUCUGCAACAAUCAUAAUGAUUUGCAUCAACAUGUGAUUGUUUUUUUGACUCCAAGAACAGCUUGUAAAUGUAAUUUCUCUUCUUCCCCACUCACCCUUGAAAACCCACUAUUUGUGUACUUCCAAAACGAUUUAUUGCUGACCGCCAAAGACCGAUACUCACUGGACAAAUUCCUAAAAGAAAGAUUCAAAUUCCAAUGUCUUAUACCUAUUUGAUUUGCAGUUCUUGUUAUGCUAAUGACUAGAAUGAGGCAAAGUGUUUUUUAAUUGAGAUGAUGGAUCUAAGGGUGCAGCAUGAUGUUGUGAUUUUCCAUGUUGGUCAUAUAUGAGCUUUGUGAAAAUAGAAAGAUAGAAGAAGCAUGUAGGUUUUUAGAAUCGCAUCAAUGGAUGGGUUUUGCUUGACCGAGGGAACUAUUUGUUUCUGUGGAGAAUAAAGGGUGCAGAAAUGAUGUUGCUAAAUACAACAAGUUGAUAAAUGGGUAAUGCAAGAAUAAGGAAGUAGAGGAAGCGUUAGGCCUUUGUAGCGAAAAGCUUUCUAAAAGAAUUCUCCUAGAAUAUGUUGGGGGGAUGGAGCAGCUGCCCCCAUCGCACCCUAAGCCAACAGACUCAAAAUUGGAUGGGAACUUUUUUCAUAGAUUAUUUCACGAACGCCCGAUUCCAAAUAUGUAACAUAUAACAUCAUGAUUCAUGGGCUUUGUAAAAAUGGGCAAAUGGAUACGGAAGCAAGGCGUACGACGCCCAGUUGUGUCAUGUUUACUAAGCUUAUGCGAAAGAAUGAGACAUCAAAAGUUAUUGAACUUCCUCACUCAAUGGAUAAGAGAAAUGUAAUGCGGGAUGCAUCUAUACUUGCAACUGUUGUGGACUUUCUUUUAAAGAAUGAUAUCCGUUUAAACUCGAUUCCAGAAUUCAAAAGCCAAAAUUGAAUAUUGAUUUAGUAGCAUGUUUUUCUGCCUGCUGAAAAUCGGAUAUGGAGGAUCCGUUUCAUUAUACCAAAUGUGAAGGAGUGUCACGUUGUGAGGGCAAGGUAAAAUCCUCGCCAUCUGGUUCGGUUCACCAAAGAAACUUCCCCAUUAAUUUCUUGAAAAAGUUAAGUUAAAACUGUAAAUGAAAGAAUCAUGAUGAUCUGUUUUGGUUUGUGAGAUGUUAGAAAGAGGUCAUUGUUUAUUAAGUGGAAAUAAAAAUGAGGGAAUGAGAUUCAUUAAUUUGUUUACUUAUAAAUAGAGGAGGAGAAUUGAGAAUUAAAUUUGUUGGCCUCACAUCAAUUUAUGAAUAACUCUUGGAUUUCUAAUUUCUAAGGGAGAUUUGGAAUCUACAUCUCAUUUACAAUCUACCCAAUUGUAAUAAUUUUCAUUUUGUCAUUCUUUUAAAUAUUUAAAAAAUAAAUAAAAAUCGCAUGAGUACUGUGCAAAGAUGGAUUGUUCUUGUUAUUGUUGAUGUUAUUAUUACUAGCACCGAAUUACAUAUUAUUAAAUUAGUUUAAAUAUUACAAAUUAAAUUAUUUUUAAAUGAGUGAUAAAACCUGAUCAUUUAAUAACCAUGGCCAUUUAACAGAUUUAAACAUAAAAUUUCGUGUCAAAUUAUGUUUGAGUAUAAGGAUAAUGUAAGAUAAUUGGUACUUUAAUUUACAUUUAUGUGCNNNNNNNNNNNNNNNNNNNNNNNNNNNNNNNNNNNNNNNNNNNNNNNNNNNNNNNNNNNNNNNNNNNNNNNNNNNNNNNNNNNNNNNNNNNNNNNNNNNNNNNNNNNNNNNNNNNNNNNNNNNNNNNNNNNNNNNNNNNNNNNNNNNNNNNNNNNNNNNNNNNNNNNNNNNNNNNNNNNNNNNNNNNNNNNNNNNNNNNNNNNNNNNNNNNNNNNNNNNNNNNNNNNNNNNNNNNNNNNNNNNNNNNNNNNNNNNNNNNNNNNNNNNNNNNNNNNNNNNNNNNNNNNNNNNNNNNNNNNNNNNNNNNNNNNNNNNNNNNNNNNNNNNNNNNNNNNNNNNNNNNNNNNNNNNNNNNNNNNNNNNNNNNNNNNNNNNNNNNNNNNNNNNNNNNNNNNNNNNNNNNNNNNNNNNNNNNNNNNNNNNNNNNNNNNNNNNNNNNNNNNNNNNNNNNNNNNNNNNNNNNNNNNNNNNNNNNNNNNNNNNNNNNNNNNNNNNNNNNNNNNNNNNNNNNNNNNNNNNNNNNNNNNNNNNNNNNNNNNNNNNNNNNNNNNNNNNNNNNNNNNNNNNNNNNNNNNNNNNNNNNNNNNNNNNNNNNNNNNNNNNNNNNNNNNNNNNNNNNNNNNNNNNNNNNNNNNNNNNNNNNNNNNNNNNNNNNNNNNNNNNNNNNNNNNNNNNNNNNNNNNNNNNNNNNNNNNNNNNNNNNNNNNNNNNNNNNNNNNNNNNNNNNNNNNNNNNNNNNNNNNNNNNNNNNNNNNNNNNNNNNNNNNNNNNNNNNNNNNNNNNNNNNNNNNNNNNNNNNNNNNNNNNNNNNNNNNNNNNNNNNNNNNNNNNNNNNNNNNNNNNNNNNNNNNNNNNNNNNNNNNNNNNNNNNNNNNNNNNNNNNNNNNNNNNNNNNNNNNNNNNNNNNNNNNNNNNNNNNNNNNNNNNNNNNNNNNNNNNNNNNNNNNNNNNNNNNNNNNNNNNNNNNNNNNNNNNNNNNNNNNNNNNNNNNNNNNNNNNNNNNNNNNNNNNNNNNNNNNNNNNNNNNNNNNNNNNNNNNNNNNNNNNNNNNNNNNNNNNNNNNNNNNNNNNNNNNNNNNNNNNNNNNNNNNNNNNNNNNNNNNNNNNNNNNNNNNNNNNNNNNNNNNNNNNNNNNNNNNNNNNNNNNNNNNNNNNNNNNNNNNNNNNNNNNNNNNNNNNNNNNNNNNNNNNNNNNNNNNNNNNNNNNNNNNNNNNNNNNNNNNNNNNNNNNNNNNNNNNNNNNNNNNNNNNNNNNNNNNNNNNNNNNNNNNNNNNNNNNNNNNNNNNNNNNNNNNNNNNNNNNNNNNNNNNNNNNNNNNNNNNNNNNNNNNNNNNNNNNNNNNNNNNNNNNNNNNNNNNNNNNNNNNNNNNNNNNNNNNNNNNNNNNNNNNNNNNNNNNNNNNNNNNNNNNNNNNNNNNNNNNNNNNNNNNNNNNNNNNNNNNNNNNNNNNNNNNNNNNNNNNNNNNNNNNNNNNNNNNNNNNNNNNNNNNNNNNNNNNNNNNNNNNNNNNNNNNNNNNNNNNNNNNNNNNNNNNNNNNNNNNNNNNNNNNNNNNNNNNNNNNNNNNNNNNNNNNNNNNNNNNNNNNNNNNNNNNNNNNNNNNNNNNNNNNNNNNNNNNNNNNNNNNNNNNNNNNNNNNNNNNNNNNNNNNNNNNNNNNNNNNNNNNNNNNNNNNNNNNNNNNNNNNNNNNNNNNNNNNNNNNNNNNNNNNNNNNNNNNNNNNNNNNNNNNNNNNNNNNNNNNNNNNNNNNNNNNNNNNNNNNNNNNNNNNNNNNNNNNNNNNNNNNNNNNNNNNNNNNNNNNNNNNNNNNNNNNNNNNNNNNNNNNNNNNNNNNNNNNNNNNNNNNNNNNNNNNNNNNNNNNNNNNNNNNNNNNNNNNNNNNNNNNNNNNNNNNNNNNNNNNNNNNNNNNNNNNNNNNNNNNNNNNNNNNNNNNNNNNNNNNNNNNNNNNNNNNNNNNNNNNNNNNNNNNNNNNNNNNNNNNNNNNNNNNNNNNNNNNNNNNNNNNNNNNNNNNNNNNNNNNNNNNNNNNNNNNNNNNNNNNNNNNNNNNNNNNNNNNNNNNNNNNNNNNNNNNNNNNNNNNNNNNNNNNNNNNNNNNNNNNNNNNNNNNNNNNNNNNNNNNNNNNNNNNNNNNNNNNNNNNNNNNNNNNNNNNNNNNNNNNNNNNNNNNNNNNNNNNNNNNNNNNNNNNNNNNNNNNNNNNNNNNNNNNNNNNNNNNNNNNNNNNNNNNNNNNNNNNNNNNNNNNNNNNNNNNNNNNNNNNNNNNNNNNNNNNNNNNNNNNNNNNNNNNNNNNNNNNNNNNNNNNNNNNNNNNNNNNNNNNNNNNNNNNNNNNNNNNNNNNNNNNNNNNNNNNNNNNNNNNNNNNNNNNNNNNNNNNNNNNNNNNNNNNNNNNNNNNNNNNNNNNNNNNNNNNNNNNNNNNNNNNNNNNNNNNNNNNNNNNNNNNNNNNNNNNNNNNNNNNNNNNNNNNNNNNNNNNNNNNNNNNNNNNNNNNNNNNNNNNNNNNNNNNNNNNNNNNNNNNNNNNNNNNNNNNNNNNNNNNNNNNNNNNNNNNNNNNNNCUUCCUUCAAUAUUUUGUUUGGUUGUCUUGCUAAGACUAAACAUUAUGAUACUGUCCUUUCACUAUUCAAGAGACUCAAUUCCACUGGGUUGUUUCCGGAUCGUUAUACUUACAAUAUCUUGAUUAACUGCUUUUGCAAAAUGGGUCGAGUUUCUCAUGGUUUUGUUGUUCUUGGGAGAAUCCUCAGGUCUUGUUUUACUCCAGAUGCUGUGACCUUUAAUUCUUUGAUUAAAGGUUUGUGUGUGGAGAGUAGAAUCAUGGAGGCCGCUGCAUUGUUUACAAAACUUAGAGUGUUUGGUUGUGAGCCUGAUGUCAUUACGUACAAUACUUUGAUUAAUGGAUUGUGUCGAACCGGCCAUACAAUUGUUGCUCUAAAUUUAUUUGAAGAGACGGCCAAUGGAAAUAGGAAAUUUGGUGUUGUUUGUAAGCCAGACGCUAUUACAUACAAUACUAUUAUAGAUGGUCUUUGUAAGGAAGGUUUUGUGGACAAGGCCAAGGAACUGUUUCUGCAGAUGAAGGAUAAGAAUAUUAACCCAGAUGUGGUUACUUAUAACUCUUUGAUUCACGGUUUUUGUUACGCUAAUGAUUGGAACGAGGCGAAUUGUUUGCUUAUUGAGAUGAUGGAUCAAGGGGUACAGCCUGAUGUUGUGACUUUCAAUGUGAUCAUGGAUGAGCUCUGCAAGAAUGGGAAGAUGGAGUUGAGCGUGCUUUCAAGCUGUUUGAUGAGAUGCAACGUGAUGGCGUGGCAGCUGAUACCUGGACAUAUAGAACCUUUAUUGAUGGGCUCUGCAAGAAUAGUUAUAUCGUAGAGGCAGUUGAACUAUUUCGCACUUUGAGAAUUCUCAAGUGUGAACUUGAUAUUCGAGCCUACAACUGCCUCAUUGAUGGAUUAUGUAAAUCCGGCAGACUCGAAAUUGCAUGGGAACUAUUUUGUAGUUUGCCUCGUGGAGUCCUAAUAGCAGAUGUUGUAACCUAUAACAUCAUGAUCCAUGGGCUUUGUAACGAUGGGAAAAUGGACAAGGCGCAUGAUUUGUUUCUUGAUAUGGAAGCAAAAGGUGUAGCACCCAAUUGUGUCACAUUUAACACGCUGAUGCUAAGUUGCAUCCGCAAUAAUGAGACAUCAAAAGUUGUUGAACUCCUUCACAGAAUGGAUGAGAGAAAUGUAAUACCAGAUGCAUCUACACUUUCAAUUGUUGUGGACUUACUUGUAAAGAAUGAAAUUAGCUUAAACUCGAUUCCACAAUUCAAGAGUCAAAGUUAAAGUGAGUUUAUAUUGAUUUAGUCGCAUGUUUCUUCUGCCUGAAAACCCGAUCUGGAGGAUCCCAUUCUUAUUACAACAUGUAAAGGAGCGUUGUCUAAUGUUGGCAUGUUCCUAGGUUCUGUCCAUGGAUUCUGUUUGCAGACAUGGCUAACUUCUUGUCCAACAGAUAAGUUUUAAAGUCUUUCAACUUUAUGUUGUAAAAUAACAUUUUUAUUAUUCAAUUCAUGAGUUUUCCUUCUGUAACACAUCCUUCUCAUUAGCUGGAAGUGCAAAUUUUUUAGGCUUUUCCUGUAUGGCCUCUUUUUCUUCUCUAAAUAAAAUGGCAUUUUGUUUCCCUCCUGUGAGGGUACAACGUUUAUGUUCAAACUUUCUGUUAGUUAAGUUGGUUGUCUUUGAUAUAGGGAACUUCCAGUUGAACUGAUUUGUAAUUCGAGUAUAUGAGAUUACCAACUGUAUUGGGAAUUGAUGCCAAAUUAAUUAUGUCAUCAGGUUUUUCAAUCAGCGUUCAUCAUUUAUUUCUAUUAACAAUUAAUAGCACAGCUUGUCUUCUCAGCUUCAUUGAUUCCUCUAAAAAAUAAUCUUGUAAAGACAAUUUUUUUUUUUUUUUUUGGCAUGGUAAAUGCUAGAUAGUUUGUGGUCUGAAUGAUACUACACAUCUAAGUAAUUGCCCAAAUUGCCAUGUAACAAGGAGUGUUGCAUAGUGAUGUCAUGCUCACAGGUACCACUCAUCAACAUGGCCAACGCUUUCGAUGCAGUCAUUAUUAUGGAAAUUCAAGAGUUCUCCUCCUAAGAGGUCUCUCUCUCGUUCUCUUAAUUUCCUUAUUCUGUUUUGGAAGUAAUGUAAUGGGAAAAUAGCAUUUAAUUUCCUUGUGUCUGACAUUUUCUUCUAUAAAUGCUAUAAAAUAUCUUUUUUUUUCAUCAUUGAUAUGUAUUACACAAUCAGAAGACUACUCGUAUUUAUAUGAAACAUCUACUUUAUGGCACAGUUCAGAUUUUUAUCCUUAUAAAUAUUGGAGGGAUAUCUUUAUGUUUCUUCUGUGAUAACGUUUCUGCGUGCUGCAACCUUUUUAUUAGAUUGAUAGAAUGUGAAUACACGGAAAUUCUGUUUGAUAAUCUCGGCAAACCAGGAUUAAUAUGAAAUGGAGCGUCAUCAACAAAUACUUAGCAUAUUGCUGACUAUGAUUUGUUCUCCUCCCCUCAUUCUUUUUGUGAGUAGAAUUGGAUUGUGAAACUUGUUAUGUCAGCACAAGUGUUCUUACAAGUUGAUGUAAAAUACACUGACUUGAAAUAAUGGCAUGGUAAUUGGUAUAGAUAAGCUAGCAUGAGUAUAUUUUGUCACCAAUUUCGCCAACCGCGUCUGGGUGUGGAAAUUAUAUUGCAUUUCUAAUGUCAUUUGAAAGAAAAACUUGCAAAAUUUGUAAUUUGUUAAAUCUGAACCGUGGUUCACAUCUACUCUUCCCGAACUUGAGUCAUAUGAUUCAAUUUUUUAGUGGGCAUGGCGAGAUAGAUUUCUACCAAGCCCAACCCAUUUAUCUACCCUUUUGUAAUUUUCUAUCAUGCAUAUAUUUAUAUUUUUGUAUAGUUAAUAUCUAAUUAUUUAUGUAUUUUUAUCGAAUAACUACUAAUUAUAUUUUUCUAAAAAAUCGGCAUGAAAAGUUCAACUUAAUAUUGAAUUAAAUUUUGAUAAGUAUAUGUCAAAUGUUUGGAAUUCUUUUUCUAGUCUUCAUGAUUGAUUAAUUGGAAAAUAAAUGUGUAUGUAUUAAAAUGGUAUUGGAUAAACAUGCCCCUAUCACCCAAGUUUUCCUUUGGAUAAUUUCCUAACUUGCAAGUUGAUAUCGAUGUUUAAAAAGAACCAAAAAAAAAAAAAAAUACAUUGAAAUCUUUAUAAAUUAUUUCUUGACCUAAUAGUUGACACUUUCUCGCCUUAUUCUUGAGGUUGAAGGUUUGAAUUUUCUUAUGUGGAUUUUAGGUGAACUACAGAAAAACAGCUUAUAUGAGACAUUUUCAAAAUAAGUAUGAAUGUGGUACUUAUUCAUCAGAUGGACAUAUUAAUGACGUGAUAAAUUUAUAAUCCGCAAAAUUGUGGAUCAGAUAUAAAUUAAUGUCCAAUCCCUAAAAUCCGAUCCUCGAACACCUCUAUUACUUAGAGGCUCCCUUCUUCCAAAUUCAUAAUCUUCAACAUUUCUCCAACCAAUCAAGCAAGGCUAGAGAUAGGUAACAUACAUUUUGAUGUACAUUUGGCUUUUGUAUCAUUUACUUCACUAGUGAUCCAUUAAAUGGAUCCACCAUUAACGUAAAUGCUAGUUUAACUAUUGACAGUGGAGCAAGUAUGUAUGUGGUCCCUACGCACAAGCAUACACGCCCAUUAAAGCAUUACUCUCCUCAUCAUUGGAUAUGAAUUUUGUGAACUAUAUAUCUUUUUGGGGGUUUCAUUUAUCUUUCCGGUCUCUUAUGAUCAUUCACGGCUCCUGCUGCUGCUUCUUAUUGGCUCUUUGACAUCCUCUGUCUUGUUCUUGCUGUGUGUGUCAGCCACUAGCAACUGCUUCAAGCAAUGUGAGUUUGUUGCGUGAGCUUCCGUUUUGGUUAUUUUCAAUUAUUAUUUUUGUUGAUGGGUUUGUGAUUUUGUGCUGUAUUAUUACAGGAUUACACUGUUUAUAUGGAAGAGAGAAGAUAUGAUGAGCCUCAGCUGGUUCAGGAUUCGCACCAUCAGAUUCUUUCGGAUAUUCUUGGAAGGUUUAUAUUUCAAUCUCUUUAGCCGAAUUUACCUAUUAUAUUUUUAUCAUAUAAACGUUAUGCAAAAUGUUUAUGUUAAUGUAUGGCGAAAAUUGAAAAAUGGAAAAUAAAAAUAUUUGUGCUGCUUUCACUAUUUAUCUAUGUUAAUCUCUUUGAUAAAAUGAAGUGGAUGUCAUUAUUUCCAUGCAUCAGUAAUUACAAUCCAUAUUAUGCUCUUGCUAGUCUGUGCUCCAUUUGAACAUCGCAACGAACUUAUUUACUUACAUAUAUUUUGUGCUUUCUGGUUGGAAAUUGGAAGUUUUAACCAAUUUCUGAUCAGAAACAGCCCUUUUGAGUGCUAUGGCAGAAACCGCAGACGCGGCCUAACCUUCAUUUUUAAUUUGUAUCAAUUGGUAGUUUUUUAUCAUAUAAACGUUAUGCAAAACGUUUAUGUUAAUGUAUGGUGAAAAUUGAAAAAUGGAAAAUAAAAAUAUUUGUACUGCUUUCACUAUUUAUCUAUGUUAAUCUCUUUGAUAAAAUGAAGUGGAUGUCAUUAUUUCCAUGCAUCAGUAAUUACAAUCCAUAUUGUGCUCUUGCUAGUCUGUGCUCCAUUUGAACAUCGCAACGAACUUAUUUACUUACAUAUUUUUUGUGCUUUCUGGUUGGAAAUUGGAAGUUUUAACCAAUUUCUGAUCAGAAACAGCCCUUUUGAGUGCUAUGGCAGAAACCGCAGACGUGACCUAACCUUCAUUUUUAAUUUGUAUCAAUUGGUAGUUUUUUAUAACUCUCUCUUUUCCCCUCUAUCAAUAAUGAAUGGUAUUCGCUAGAGAAACCGUAAGGGGACUAAUCAUUGUGAAAAGCACUAGGUGAUAACUAGCAGUUUCAAUUUGACAGCAAAGAAGCUGCUAAGGAAUCANNNNNNNNNNNNNNNNNNNNNNNNNNNNNNNNNNNNNNNNNNNNNNNNNNNNNNNNNNNNNNNNNNNNNNNNNNNNNNNNNNNNNNNNNNNNNNNNNNNNNNNNNNNNNNNNNNNNNNNNNNNNNNNNNNNNNNNNNNNNNNNNNNNNNNNNNNNNNNNNNNNNNNNNNNNNNNNNNNNNNNNNNNNNNNNNNNNNNNNNNNNNNNNNNNNNNNNNNNNNNNNNNNNNNNNNNNNNNNNNNNNNNNNNNNNNNNNNNNNNNNNNNNNNNNNNNNNNNNNNNNNNNNNNNNNNNNNNNNNNNNNNNNNNNNNNNNNNNNNNNNNNNNNNNNNNNNNNNNNNNNNNNNNNNNNNNNNNNNNNNNNNNNNNNNNNNNNNNNNNNNNNNNNNNNNNNNNNNNNNNNNNNNNNNNNNNNNNNNNNNNNNNNNNNNNNNNNNNNNNNNNNNNNNNNNNNNNNNNNNNNNNNNNNNNNNNNNNNNNNNNNNNNNNNNNNNNNNNNNNNNNNNNNNNNNNNNNNNNNNNNNNNNNNNNNNNNNNNNNNNNNNNNNNNNNNNNNNNNNNNNNNNNNNNNNNNNNNNNNNNNNNNNNNNNNNNNNNNNNNNNNNNNNNNNNNNNNNNNNNNNNNNNNNNNNNNNNNNNNNNNNNNNNNNNNNNNNNNNNNNNNNNNNNNNNNNNNNNNNNNNNNNNNNNNNNNNNNNNNNNNNNNNNNNNNNNNNNNNNNNNNNNNNNNNNNNNNNNNNNNNNNNNNNNNNNNNNNNNNNNNNNGGGGGGGGGGGGGAGCGCAUUAUCCAAACACCUAUUUCGAGCAUGAAAAUUAACCCCAAUGACAAAAUUAAAUCCACCCGUUAACCUCAGUGUUAUAUUAGUAUCACAACAAAAAUAGAACAUACAAUCAACUAAGAAAGCUCAUAAAAGACAUAUAAAGAACUCAACAUGCUAUGAAGCAUGAUCUAAGAAAAUGAAACCAACCAAAUGGAGUUCGACAAACUUACAUACAUCUAAGAAAUUUAACUGAUAAAUAAAAAAGAAAACUAAAGCAUCAUGGUUGUUGUAAUAUGACCUAACCAAAUAACUUAUAUAAAACAGUAGUCCUAAUACUUCAUACAACAACCAAAACUAAGGCCAGCUUUUCUCCAUUAAUUUAUCUUGCAGAAACAGAAGUUAUCCCUAGCUGUCUAGCAUUACCUGAUACCAGCCCCAGUUCUUAUUUACCGACUUUAUACAAUAGGCUUUCCAUUAGUGAGCAAGAAAUGGUCCAUGUUAAAAGCUCAAUUGUUCAUACAAGUAAACAAUAAAGAACGAAUGAUAUGGGCCCCAAAACUUCAUAAUGAACAUAUUAGUAUAUAACAGACUCAUUUAAUUCUCUGAAUAUGUAAUCACCCAAAACCACUUCAUUUCUUGAAUUUUCUCAAAUAACACAAACAGGUCAAGUUCACAGUCAUCAAGAACAAUGAUGGAACCUGCCAACACCUCCCACCCACACAUAUUUUUAAAUUACGUGCGCAUUCCGCUCAAAAUUUGAGAAAACAUAAAAGUAAAAGAUGCAACAUUGUGACAUUUAUCAGACCAUGCAUCCACUACUUAAUUUCCAGUUUGAGUUUCUAUGUUUAAUAUUAAGAUGCAUUAUGCAACCACUGAAAGAUCAAUCAUAAAAACAAUGUUCAACGGUCAGGUUAACAACAAAUACUGUAGAUUGUCUCAUUAUUCAACAAUGAUUUAAUAAUUAUUAAUCAAUUGGGACCCAAAAAUACUAACAGCUGCACUAAUUUCAGCUUAGAACACGAGAUUGAAACUUUCCACAAUCAAGCAAUCAAACAACACACGGGAUUCAAAAAAGUAAAAGCCUCAAUCACUGUAUUUCCUACAAUUUCUUGCUAUCUAAAGAGAUUUUAUAAUAGCACUCACCUAUCAUCAAGUUUCUUAAGCUCGUCUUCGAUCUUCGUACGCAUCGAAUCAAGAACGCUUUGAUCCAUCUCCAGCACAGACUCAGCCACUAGGGUUUCAUAAAACGAGGCCAUGUCUACAGAAAAAAAGAGCAACAAUUAAAAUUGAAAAAAAAAAAUAGAGCAUUACUCGGAAGAAAUAAGUAUGCGAAUCCGGCGAGUUAGGUACCGUGGGCUUUGACCAUUGAGAAGACCUCCCCUUUGAGACCAACCUUCUCGAUGUCUUGAACGUCUGGGUGCGUAAGAAGGAAACGCUUGUGAGCGAGUACGAGAUGCGCCUGCUGAGUUCCUUCGCUGUCCAUGGCUAAUUCGGCUGCUGAUGACUCACUGAGAUACGUUCCGAGUUGGUUCUUUGCUUGAGAAAGGAGCUAGCGCAGUAUACAGAGUCGCCGUGACGAUUUACAAAUAAUUUAUGCCCGGUAUUUUCUUUUAUAUGAAUGUUAAUAUAUGCACCCUCUUCUUUUCAAAAAGAAAAAAAAUAUAUGCACCCCAUUAGUCUGAUAAAUCCCCCUUGCAGACCCUUACAUGGGCCCUCGUUGGGCUCGUGAACAAUUAUGGGCUCGUAGACGAGGUUCUAAAAUCAUCUGUCCAUUUUUUUUUUAAAUUUUAGAAACAGAAAAACAGUUCAAUAAUUUAUGUAGAAAAUUUAAAGAAAUAAUCAACAUUUGAGGUUUAUAUAUAAAUUUAACCAACUUUUCUAUCAUCCUUACUUUUUUUUAUAACCAAAGACAUUUAUUGUUCGAGAUUAAGGGAGAUAAUAAGUUGGUUAAAAUUUACAAGCCGCCCCCAAGAUUUAGCUACUGACGGAGAGUAAUAUUAUAGUAAGAGAGUAUUUUACUUCACUUCACUGGAGUAAAAGAGGUAAAGACACUUAUUUUAAUAUAUUAUAAAAAUACUUAUUUUUAUAUUUUAAUUUAUUUUAAAAAUUAUUUAGGUCGUGUUUUGAAUUGAAUUGUUAUAUUUUUUUAAUUUAUCCAUAAAAAUUGUAAUUAUAAAACAAAAGUUAAUAAUAUUUAAUAAAUAUAAUUUUUAAAUCAUAAUUUUAAUAAAAUUAUAGAUUUUUUGUCAAACAAAUAAAAAAUCACAUCAACAUAACUUUUAAGAUAUAAUAAUUAAUAUUUAUCAAAUACUUUAAUUUUGUAACUUUUAAAUUAUAAUUAGUCAAUUCCAAUCUCAAACAAGACCUAAAAUAAGUGAUUCAGAUAUUAUAAAAUUACUAUUUGAUGAAAAUUCCCCAUAUUAUAUAAAAUGACCAAAUAUAUAUUUGAAGAAUGAUCAAAUAUUCUUUAAUACGUAAAAUCCACGUGUUAUUUGAGAUGAAAGCCUUCUGGGCUUCCAAUUCUAUAUUUCUAUGGUGAGUUAUUGUUAGUGAGUAUAAUCUAUUAAAUUUAAUGAAUAAAUAAUAAAUCACAUCGAAUUCUGAGCCGUCAGAGGAAAUAUGCCGGAGACACUCUCGUGAGUCGUGUUUCCUGCUCUCAGUCGUGGGUGUUGAAAAUUUUCCUUCAAACUACUUUCUUCCGAGAAAAUAAUUAUAAUUUUUUUUAAAGUAAUGGGGAAACGAAAGCGCGGUGAUGCUAACAAUCCGAUAGAUAUUGUCUCUUCAACUCCUGGUAAAUCGUUCUUUUUUGUGUGCUUUAAUUUAUUCUUCCUUGAAUUGUCUCUCUUUUGUUUGGUCGCUGAGAAAACGCGGGAGAAAAUAUGGAAAGUUUUGAAUUUAAUAAUGUAGAUUGGUCUAGACAGUCGAUAGUGUUGUUUAUGAGGGUCGGUUGGUUUUCAUUUGGUUACGAUAUGUGAAUUUUUGUUUGUUUACUUCAAUAAUUUUGGACAAUCUUAGGUGAUAAUGAUAGAAACAGAUGCAUUUCCCAAUUUUUUUUUUAAUCCUAGAAAAUAAAAAUCUUUCUUUAUUUUGCUUUGCAAGAUGAAAUUGGGAUCCUGGACCAGUUUUAGAGUUAAUUAUUAUACUUCACAGAACUUGAUAGAACUUCGAUGGCUCAUGGCUUCAUAUAGUUUCUUUAGCCUAUCGUUUUGAAUGAUUAAGCUAACUGCUUCAUUCCAACUUAUUAAUAUGUUUAUAGUAGUACAGCCCGAGUGAAGUUUCCUAAAAUUGUCCGAAGAGUCACGCCAUUGUCUUAUGUUGAGUUCGCCUGUAUUGCAAAUUCUGAACAACAAGUAGAGCAACUUAAUUCAUUUUAUGCAUGCAUAUAUAUUUGAAUUGUUUAGAAAUUAUAUUAGGUAAUUGAUAAAGAAGAUUAAUGGGUUAAUGUUCAAUGUUGUUGCAGAGGAUCCUGGUCAUUUGUCAAAGCAUCGGACAUGUUGGCUGCAUACAGUAGCAUUUUUGCAUGCUCGAAAGAUGAAGAUAUCUAAACAGAAGAUAAGAAACUUUGAAUUGACUGCCCCAUGUUUUCUAGGUACUUUUUCUUGUCGUAGACGAUCAAAGAGAAGAGUUAAGUGCAAGAAUACAAGCCUCAUUAAGGGCAAGAAUUCAAGUUCAGUUAAGUGCAAGGAUAUGAUCACUAAACGAAAGAAGAAUAAGCUAGAUUCUGGAAAAUUUGAACACCUUUUGGAGUAAGCCCUAGUUUCUGCAAUGUAUUUUGUAGCCUGUAACUUGCCCUUACACUGAAUGCAUGUACAAAUUUGCAGUAAUUUGUGGAGGAGCUUCUCUGAGGAUAAGAAGGCUGGCUUUACAUAUCUCGACUCUUUAUGGUUUGACUUGUAUAGGAAACCAUCCAGCAAAGCAAAGGUUUUGACAUGGAUCAAGAGGAAGCAUAUUUUUUCAAAGAAAUAUGUCCUUGUUCCAAUAGUUUGCUGGUGUGUAUUUUUUUUCACCUUGAAAACUGAUUGUCGGAUUCCUUGUCAGUGCAUGGAAUUAUAUAAUCUUAAAAUGCUAUUUUUAGGAGACACUGGAACCUCUUAAUCUUAUGCAACUUUGGCGGGAGUUUCGAAUCAAAAACAAGAACACCCUGCAUGCUUUUGCUUGAUUCACUUGAAAUGUCAAAUCCUUGGCGGUUUGAACCAGAUAUAAGAAAGUAUGUGACUCUUUAUUUCUUUGGUGUGUUUGUGUGUCUGUGUACCAGCAUUAUUGUAUCUGUUUAUUGCACAAGUUGAGUGUUCAACCUGCGUUCUGGGUUUUGAAGGUUUGUGAUGGACAUAUACAAAGCAGAGGAUAGACCUGAAACCAAGGAGUUGAUAUCUCGAAUUCCAUUAUUGGUGCCUAAGGUAACCAUCAUAAGAGCUAUUAAUUAAUUUUACAUAACACCCUCUGAAUUUGCACCUGUAAAUACUGUACUUGUUUUAGGUGCCACAGCAAAGAAAUGGUGAAGAAUGUGGAAACUUUGUUCUCUACUUCAUUAAUCUGUUUGUAGAGGGUGCUCCAGAGAAUUUUAACCUUGAGGACUAUCCAUACUUUGUAAGUUUUCUUGUUUGUGUCAUGUUUGUCACCUGCAGGAUUGUUCUUAUGUAUUAGUGACCGAGUUCCUCAUCUCUUCAAUACACUGCAGAUGGAAAAGAAUUGGUUUACUGCAGAAGACCUGGAUUGCUUUUGUGAGAGACUCAACUCCUCUGAAAACUGAUUUGCAUUAGUUUCGCUAGAUGCAAUGUACGAUUUGCAUUAGUUUCGCUAGAUGCAAUAUAUGUAAGUUCUUUAACAUAUUUGUAUACGUAGGGAUUAGGUCUCUGAGGUUUAUUUUGAAACAUUAUGAUUUAUAAGGUUAUGAUUUAGGCAUGGAGCUGAAGCAUAUAUUAGCUGCAAUCUCUAGGAUGGCAGAUGACGAUGUCUUGAUCAAUUAAAGGCAUUUUUUACUGUCUCGGCUUGCUAUUAUAUUGUUAGGCAAGAUUCUCGGUAUUGAGUUACUCGAGCUCUUCACAACAGCAUAUUCUAGUCUUCACCCAAUACUUAGAUAUAUAAACUAAUUUGACUUGCAGAGAACCUGUUGCUCUCACAACUCUGCUUUGAGCUCAUAACUCAGCUCCGCAGUUCUGCUUAUAUCCAAGACAUUGAUCCAAAUAAAAGAAUCAGAUCUGAAAUAUUGAACUAGGUUGACAUGCUGCAACUUGGAAACAGAAAAACGUUGAAGGCGGUAAAACCACCUGUAGAAUUUUCUGCAUCACUGAAACCAACAUAUGUAUUAGGGAUAUUUUGUUCUGGACCUUACAAGGUGCUCCUUCCUUGAAGGAACUGAGAAGCUAGUGCACUUUUUUUUUGUGUGGAAAUCCAGCAUGGAGAUCAGGAGAUGAAAAAUGUAAAUUUAGAGAAAUUGGAAAUAAAAAACAACAAACAACAGCAGUAUUUACUGGCAACAAUUGUAAGCCGCAUAAAGCAAAACAAGCCAAUCAUUUCAUACAUCAUAUGCUCAAAGCUUUGCUCAAAAUGGUAGAAAACAAUCUAGCAGCUAAAGUUCCAUCAUCAUAAGCGCAUUUGUACGCAUACACUAGGACAAAUGGCUCAACUUGUCAGUGCUAUUAACAAUGUGAAACUACACUAACACAUCGAAACAUGAUUUAGGCUUAUCAAUAUCAGUGCAAGUCAGCAAAGUGUGGUCGGUAACAAAAAUACAUUCUUUUCUUUACACCUAAAUCUGUAAUCAGAAGCUGAUUCCUCAAAAAGUAUUUUCAGUGUGUUGUUAUCAGGAGUUAGCAAUAGGGAAUGUCACCAUCUGGAACCUCCCAGUUAUCAUCUUCAUCAUCGUCCCCCUCCUUCUUAGGAGUUUUCUGUUUCACUGGAGAUUUUGGCUUUGGUCGUCUGACAUGAACAGAAUAAAUCAAUAGCAAGCAUGUAGUUCUUUGAAAAGAACAAAAAACAUAAAACGAAAAUGCAUAUGAGAGUGCCAACAAACAUGAUCAGCGACAUUUAAACAAAGCAAAAUUGGAGGAGGUACUGGCAUGAUUUAUAGGCCAAGUAUCAAGAUGGAGACUUUUAAUUAAUUUUUGGAAUCUUUAAAAUAAGAAAACAUAUUAGCAUAAAAGAUAUUAGAAUUGUAUAAUGAAAACAACAGAUGCCAGCAAAACACACACUGACCGUUUUCCCUGAGAGAUUUUAAGUUUGAAACUCAGCAUUGCUUCCAAUCAGUACAUGAAAAUUCAGCUACUCUUCUACCAUGAAACAAACCAUUUGAACUAUGCUUCCAAAUAUCAUCAGCACAUCUUUAGCAACCACCAAUGGGUUGCUAUGUUGUUAUUGUAAUGGGAAGCAUAACAUAAGGUACUUGAUGAUAUCUAAAUAGAUCCCAGUGGACGGCAUUUAUAUUGAUUCAGCAUCAAAACCUAGGAAAAAACUAAAUGUGAUCGUGUACUAGUAACUAAAUUAAGAAACUGAAUCAUCAGCAGUUGUUCUUCAACAAAUAUUAACAGAAGCCCAAACUGAAUACCUUUUUCGGUUCCUUUGAGCAGCGGAUCUCGCUUUACGCUUCCUCUUCUCCUGACUGCUCUCAAAAAAUCUUCUUCUCUUGCACUCUUGUAUAAUACCAGCUCUCAGCACCGCACUCCUAAACCGCCUCGCUAUCUUCUCCUCGGGCUAGUCGUCGGCGACUUCUAUCUGCACGUUGAAGAAAUAUAUGGUGUCUGUUGGAGCUGGACGGGGCUGCUGGCUGCUGCUGUGAGUGCUGUCGUCGUGGGCCACAAAACUCAAAAAGUGAGAAGAGGGAGCAAGGAGGGGGAGGGAGUUAGACGGUGAGACCGGCUGGUGUCUGUUGGAGCUGAACGGGGCUGCUGUGGCUGCUGCUGAAGUGCUGAUGUCGUCGGCCACAGUUCUCAGAAAGUGAGAACUAAGAAGAGGGAGCAAGGAGGGGGAGGCCGGGAGGUAGACAGGGAGUGAGAGAUUUUUGUUUAGGGAUUUUUAGGGAUUUUUUGGUUUAAUUAAUGUAUAUAUAUUUUUUAUUUAAAAGCUAAAUUUAAAAAAAAAAAAAAGCUUCAACCCGAACGGGUUGAAAAUUCGGUUCGGGUUGAACCCGAACCGAAAUUUAACCCGAACGGGUUGAAGCUUUGAAUCCGUUCGGGUUUCACUGGUUAAUCCAAACCGAACCGAACCCGAAAUAAAUUUCGGGUUCGGUUUGGUUCGGGUUAACCCGAACCGAACGCCCACCCUCACGCUUCACUCUCUUCUUUGGUUCUUCUCCAAUUUUCACCCUUAAAUCUUCACAGCUUUCUUCUUUUUAAGUCUUCACUCUUCAGUUUUCACAAAUCGAUUUCUCACACAAUCGGGUUUCACAGAUCGAGUUUCAGUCACAAAAGCAAACCGAUGGUCACUCAAAGACGCAGCGCAAGAACCGAAGAUCAUUUGCAGACACAGCCACCGGAUCCGUGGUUCCGUCCAUCACCAAGUUUCUCACCUCCAAGCUCCACUUCAACCCAGCAACCUGACUUCUCCAACCUGCAACCUGAGCCUUGUGUUUUGAAAUUUUGAUGGUUUUUCUUGAUGUUGUGAUUAUUAUCAUAUAUAAAUUGUAAAAUGUUAAUGUUCACCAGCUAAUGAUAAAGAAAAUCAGUGAUAAAGAAAGUUGUAAUGUAUUUUUUUUUCCAAUGAUGGGCAUAAAUUUUUUCAUUUUUCAGUCCAAACUGAUUUUAAUCCGAAUCCGAUCCGAACCGAACUCAACCCGAUUUUUUGACCCGGAUCGGAUUACAAGUUCGGAUUGAAUUCGGAUGGAUUUCUGCCCAACCCGACUAACCCGAAAUCCGAUCGGGUCGAACCAAACCCGAUCCGAAUCCGAUUUUGCCCAGCUCUACUUUUAGAACUAUCAGAGCUCGUUCAAAAUGUCACGGCCCACUUGAUAAAAUUCUCAUCUUAUCAACUUCAAAGGCAAAUUUAAAAAAAUCUUACUCCCCAAAUUUUCAAUUUCACCUAUUCUGCAUACUUGUUGUAAUGCUCACUUAAGACCCUCUCUAGUAACUCCUCUUAGAUGUAAGACUUUGCCCAGCAGACAACCCUCAACUAACUCUCUCGCAUUCCCUUCCAUGACAUUACCAACAACUACUUUACUUUCUUUUCCUUCUUCUAAUGUAAUAACUUUACACUUGCGGAUUAGUUCUUCUGUUUCCAUGAGGCACUAAAAUAUAAAUCCACUAUGAUAACUCUUGAGUAUCUACCACUUCCUCUGUAAUUAAGACUCAACAACUUAGAUGAAAAACUUAAAACUAAAAGAGACACCCAACUCGUGAGCGACUUUCGCAAUCUUAUAGGCUACUACCCUUUCAUUCUAGAUUCUCACUCAAAGAGAGAGAACCUGUGAAGAAAGACUUCUACAGGUAGGAGAGCACUUACACAGUAGAUUAUUUAUAUUUCUUUGGACUGACUUUUUUACUUUAUUAAAGACAAAAACAACAUAAACAAAGACAGAGGAUUAACAAAAGCAUCAAUUGCCAAAGAGUAGAGAGUAUUAUUAUAUUUUAGGAACUUAGGUUAUGACCAACUUAAAAGAAGCAGUUAGGGCUUGUUCGGUACCGUUUUAAAAGCCUUAUUUUCAUUUUUGUUUUGGGAGUAUAAAUAUAAUACAUAUUCAGCGGGUUGAAUCCAAAAAAAUAAAUUAUAAAACAAAUAAUUGAUAUUCACUUUUACAGUUAUAAAAUUAAGAACCUGUUGAACAUGUUCUCAAACAAAUUACAAAUUAAAUUAAAAAAAUAAACCCCAAAACAAAAUCUAAAAAGUUAUCUUUCUCUCCCAAAAUCUUAUCCCCUCCCUCUCGUUAUCUCUUCACAACUCUUCCUUCUUCAUGGUUGAUACUUCUCCUUUAACCACAACCCACCUGAACUGUGCACCGAUCUCUCUCUCCCCUUCCCCUUUAUCUAGGUCUACUUCAAUGUUCUCUUCCUCUCGGUGGCUGUUACUUGUUCAUCAACCGCAAUCCAUCGUCGCAAGGUACUACGUCGGAAUAUUUGACCAAAAACAUGUCAGGACAAAGUGAUGUCUAUCAUGGUUUAUUGCUGCAAGUGCAUUAUUUUCUUUGUACUAAAGUGAAUCUUUGAUGUAUUUAUUAAAUUUGGUGGAGCAAUCUUAGUUAAUUUUGAUGAUUUAUAUAUGCAUUUAAUUUCAUUUUUAAUAAUUCAUGUGCAGGAAAUAUGGAUUCUUGGCUUUGCUUGGACUGAUGGUUUGCGCAAUUUCAUUUGGAAUCAAUCAGCUUCGAGGAUAAACACUUGAAGUUCAUCCUUUCUUGUGCAUGGGACUUGCUUUUCUUCCAUCCAACUUUUUUGUUCUCUUUUUCUAUGGUAGCAGUUUUAUGUUUUGUGUUGGUGGGAAACUUCAUGCUGCAAUUUUGUCAAACUCUGUUGACAUACCCUAAUCAGUAAUGACUUUGCUGCAUGGCGAAAGCAUAAAUCUUGUCAUUAGAGCUUGUUUCCAUAAAAUAAGUGUAAUUUGAAAGUACAUUGUACACUAUUGAAUUUAAAUUAUCCCCAACAAGUGUUGAUGCAUGAUGUCUAUCGUGUAAUUUUUUUUAUAAUUAUUUUGUUUAAAUUAUAUGUGUUGUAAUAUAUAACUUAAUUAUAGUGUAAAAACAAUGGCAAUGUAAUUUUUUGUAUUAAUGCUAAUACUAAAACUUUAUCAUCAUGCAAUUUUUUAUAAUUAUUUUAUUUAAAUUAUUUAUGAUAUGUUUGCGUAUUAAUUAAAUAAACAAUUAGUUUUUACUAAAAACUAUGACUUACAUGUUUAGUAAAAACUGUUCAUGAAAAUAGUACUACAGAACACAUUUUCUCUGAUUUUAUCUUUUUCAAUUGUUUUUAUCAAACACAUGUUACUGUUUUCAAUUUUAAAAUACAAGAUAUAGAAAAUGAUAUCAGAUGCCUAUUUAAUUCAAAAUGCUGCAACUGCAAAACACUAUUUUUAUUCUCAUUUUUGUUUUCAGAAAAUACUAAUUCAGAAACAAUAACAAACAAGAACUUAGUUUUAGUACGAAUAAUGUUGUGUUAGUUUUACAGGCUUAUAUGCACCCUUAGAUUUAUUAGAAGUAUCAACCCAACCCCCUAGUUACCGUUGACUGAUAUCUAACCCGUUGACUGAUGUUAACUCUUGAAAGUAACUAUAACAUCUAUAUUGUAAUCUCACUUUAUUAACUAAUAAAUUUUAAAAAUAUAAACAGAUCAAUAACAACAAAAUAAUUAAAGUUGAAAUCCAAGAAAUUACCUAAAAAUCAUACCUGAAAACCAAAAUGCAUAAAAUUUCAUUAAUUUAAGUUGUGAGAAUGAGUAGUCCACAUUAUAUGAUGAAUGAACAACUUCUAUCAUUUUACCAAGUUAUUAAUGUUAUGUUUACUUACUGGAGUGGACAUGAGAAGUAUAGAUUCCUCUCACUCUAAAGUUUACUUGCAUAUUCUAAGAGGUGUGGGAAUCCCACUCCGUUGAUCCCACCCAAUUUUGAAGUAGUGAGUGUAAUUCCCACUCCCACAACUUUCUUUUUUACUUUUCUUUUAUUAAAUUUAAUACAAUCAUAUUUAGUAAAAUAAAACAAAUAACAUCAUAUUUAUUUAAUAAAUAUUAUUAUUUUAUUUUAUAAAAUUCUAUUUAUUAAAAAGAAUAAUAUUAAUCUUAUUUAGAUAAAAUUAUUAUUAUAUUUAUUUAAAAAUAAUAGUAUUAUAUUUAUUUAAUAUUAAUAAUUAAUAAUAAUAAAUAAUCUCAAGAUUUCCACUAUAAUCUAAAAUGUAAACACUGUCUAAAACGUCAAAUAAAAUUCUUAAUUAAGUAAACCAUAAGGUGAUUACGUAUAAAAAAAAUUAAUAAUAUUAAUUUUCAUAAGAAUUUAUGCUUGUAGUAUUACUUCACUUUUUUAUUAACCGUUGCUUCAACUUAUGGUAGAUAUUAAGAGAACAAUAAUAAUAGAGCUAUAAAUGUUUGCGUACUAUCAAUCAACUUAACAGUAUAAUUACCAACAAAUCCUUAAUACCAUAAAUAAUUAAAUUAUUGGGGUUUUAAAAUGACUCUCUAGACUUUGCAUGAUUUCUUUAUAUGUAGGUGCCAUGGUUCCCAUAAGUAAUAUCAGCCACACUUUUUGUUAUUGUUAAAAAAAUUUUAUAGGUACAAUUUGUGAAUUUGUACAAAAUGUGGUAUUAUACAUUUGAAGCAUGAACUGACAAGACAAUGUUGUGUCAAUAAUAAAGAAACAAAAAAAAAAUUGUAUAAAAUACAGAUGUUGUAGUGUAACUUGGAUUCUUUUUCUUUAUAAUUGCACCUAUCAUGUGAUUAUCAAAAAAAAAAAAGAACUCCUGAGAUUUUAAAAUUUUGUAAUUGCACUAUUUUUGGAUUAUCAGAAGACUUCCUCUCCUUAAAGAUGCUCUUAAUCCAUAAAUGGUGCAAAACAUAAUUCAUGAAAUGAAUUUAUUAUUUUAGAUAAGUUUCAAGUAUGCAUACCUUUUAUAGCUCCAUAUUGCAUAACUCCUCAUUUCAAUCAAUGGAUGCAUUUGUUUACUUUUUCUUUCUUGUAAAUUUUUUAAUGGCCGUAAUUCUAUAAAUAAUUAAUUAAGUGUUAUUGUUAUCAUUAUUUUGUAGAUGCAUAUGUGGGGUGGGGACGUUGGGGGGCAUGGAUCUCAAUAUAGCAGAGGGCCUGAAUAUUUAUUCUUUAAGAGGAACCACAACCAACAACAAUGCUUUAAGUUCCAUUCCAUUUUACUUCUGUGCACCAGAUUGCAUAAACAACAUUGAUUAUCCAAGGUCAAAGUCUCUCAAAUACUCUAGUUACAAGACAAAGCAUGGGUUAGUAGUGGCCAAAAUUUUCUUGCAACGAAAGGCUCGUAAACUGAUGACAGCUGCUGGAUUGUUUUGGGCCUUAAUGGUUUUAAUAUUAUUCUCUUAAAAACAUAUAUGUUGAUUAGAGACGAGAGGAAGAAGAUGAUAUGAUUCAGCCAGUUGCAGAAGAAAGAGCACGCAGUGGAGUUCAGAUUUUGAAUUCUCUUGUCAAAUUGUUUUUAAUUUACUACAAGGUAGAAUAUGUUGCAUUGUUAAAAAAUACUUUGAACAUCCUAUUUUUGUAUUACAAAUAUACCAAAAAUUAAAUUAAUUUUUUUCUUUAUUAGUAUAAACUAAAUUUUGCAUGAAUCCUCAUCCUUAUAAGUGGAAUUCUAUUGUGAAAUUAAUAGUCCUUCCUAGUUGAACUAACUAUCACUUUGAACAUGUGUCAUCUCUAACAACAGCUCCCAAACCUGCAGCUACCUGCUUCUUAGCAUUAGAAGCAGUAUCUGCAUUGGCUUUCAACCAGCCAUAAUUAGGAGGAGGGCACCAUUGUUUCUGUUUGUCAAUUUCCUUUCUUGAACCAUAAGCCAUAAUUAGGAGGAGGGCAAACUUCCAAAUAACAUUCCAAAUGGUAUUGUGAAAAAUUUUCACCCUUUUGGUAAUAAAAAAGAACCUUAUUUCUAGUUCUCUAUUAACAAUCUUACCACUAAGUUCUCUCUUGAGUAGAAACAUCAUAUAUAUUAAUUUAUUGUUAAUAUAAACAAAACUAAAUAUUUAUAACUUAAAAGAUAGGUGUUGAAUAGAGGCAGUCUCACAGAAAAAAAAAAAAAAGUAUUUGAAAGCAGUGGUGAUAUCAUAUUUUUUGUAAUGAUACGAGAGUAUCACACUAGAUUUUUUUUCUGCAUUACAAAAAGUUUGUAUUCAAGAAUAAAUAAGCAAUAUCAGGAACAAAUUUUACAAAAAGCCUCCAGGACAUGUCAUAUUAAUUUUGUGAUAUAUUAGUCACUAGAUCUUCUUUCCACAUUACAAAAAAUUAGAAAUGCAAUCUAAAUCGAUAUCAAUUACUAAUUUUAUAUUGAAUGGGUCCUACAUGAAAAUAAGGAGUAUUUUUAUAAUUUAAGAAAUUAUUAGCCAUUUACCCUAAGUUUACUUUGUGUCAAAAAAUACUACGAAAACUUUAACUUAUUUAGUUUUUUACCUGAAUUUAUAAUUUAUAUCAAUCACUCACUAAAAAGAUAGAAUUACCUCAUAAAAUGACAAAAUAAAAACAAACACAAAUGACAAUACCAGUAAUUUUAUAAGGAUAAUCCAAUCCUUUUGGCACCAAAUUACAUAUUAAAUUAUUUUAAAUAUUAUAAAUUAUUUUUAAAUUGAGUGAGAAACCCUGGUCAUUUUAAUACUCAUGGCCAUUUAAUCUAACAAAACAUGAUAUUUCGAGUAGACUUAUGUUUGCGUAAUGAAUAAUAGAUUUCAAUGAUGAGAACUAGACUUAUUUUUUAUUUAGGCAAAUAAUACAUGCACCGCUUACUUGGCAAUAUAUUUAAUUUUUCAAAUUUCUUUAUUUAGUCAACAAAUUUGAAAUUAAGUCUUCUCGAAUAUUAAGAAAUGUUGAUGAUUUUUAUAUUUUUGUUAUGUAAGUUGGAGUUUGUUAUUCAUUUUGUUAAUUAUUUAUUUUCUUAAUAUUCUUAUGAUUCACUUCCUUUAGGGGCUGAGUUUUGGAUUCAUCAUGAUUGUAUCGGGGUCCGGGUUUCACACGCUCGUUUUGUUAUGCCUUAGUCUUUGUUUUGUUUUUUUUUUAAGGGAAGCAAUUUCAUUAAACCAAAAACGAAUUACAGACUAUGUAAUAACCACAAAGGUGGAACGAAAUUCCACUCUUGGGGACCUGACAUAGAACCUACUGCCCUUGCAACAGAAUGAGCAGCCAGGUUCGCAGACCGACGUACAAACGAGAAUUGUACUUCUCCUAAAGACUUAGCUAAAGCUCGACAUUCAUCAACUAUUAAACCAAAACCGUUAGGCCCUGAAAACUCCUCAACUAGAGCUUGAAAUACUUGUAAACAAUCAGUUUCAACAAUGACACAAGGAAAUUGUAAGCCUUUAAGCCAACUAAGGGCCUCCCGAAUACCAAGAGCUUCAGCCUCCCUUGCUCCAAAAUUCCCAGCCAUUCCAGCACAUCUUGCUGUUAAGAAAACACCCUCUGAAUUUCGAAGCACACACCCAAAACCAAUCUUUCCUUGAGAUGAAAAGAUAGCAGCGUCAACAUUACAUUUGACCCAACCAAACUUUGGCCUCUCCCAACAUGUUGCCCCAUGGACCAGCUUAUGGACAUCAGUAUCAGCAUAGAAUUGUUGCUUCUUUGCUGCUUGCCACUGAUAGAGAAGUUGCCCAGCAGAAUUGAGCACUUGAUUCACUGAACCAGUUUUGUUAUUCCAUACUUUGUCAUUACGAUUAAUCCAAACUCUCCAGCAGAUCAUCAUGGCAACAUGGCAUUCUUCUUUGCUGCAGCGUGUAAAGAUGUGAUCAAGCCACUCUAAGAAAGAAUAACAAUGGCCAAUAAAACCCAUAGAGGAAGAAAUCCAGCAAGCCUUAGCAACAUUACACUCAACCAACGAAUGGAGAACCGUUUCAUCAAAAGCAAGACACACAGCACAAGUAGGGGGGAUAUUCACCCGCUUAGAAAUUAAAUUAACUGCAGUAGGCAACACAUUAGUUGCCGCUCGCCAAACAAAAUUCUUAACCUUAUUCGGCACAUUCAAGUUCCAUAGUUUUCGCCACACAUCUGUGAAAGGGCCAGGGGUAAGAGAAUGUAAAACCUUAUAACAGCUACGGACUGAAUAGCAUCCGCGAGAAUCAGCCAACCAAUACCACACAUCAUCAUUUCGGCGGGAACUAAGGGGAAUUUGAAGUAUCAACUCCUUGUCUCUUGCGUUGAAAAGAUCCGAAACAAGAUCAUAAUCCCAAGCUCGUUGAUUAGGCACCAGUAAACUACUAACAGGAGCUGCAGCAAGCUCUACAUGGAGAUUAGAAGAAACAAAUCCAUUAUUAGUAUCAGGAAGCCACGGAUCCUUACCAAUGAAGAUCGAAUUCCCACAGCCAACUUGCAGUCUACUCCCUUGAAUUACCACAUCCUUUACAGCCAAAAUAAAGCGUCAUACAUAGCUAGGAUUAUGCCCCACAGAAGCUUGAAGAACAGAGGUGCGCGGAUGGUAGCGAGCUUUAAUUAUCUUGGCCACAAGAGAUUCCGGACAAGUUAACAGCUUCCACAUUUUCUUUCCUAACAUCGCUAGAUUGAAUAAAUGAAGUUGUUUAAAACCAAGGCCCCCAUAUCCUUUUGGUUUGCACAGAUUUUCCCAAUUGGACCAGUUUAUUCCUUUCCCUCCACUUUGAUUACUACGCCACCAGAAUGAGUUCAUCAGUCCUUCUAGUUCUCUACACAAAUCCUUUGGCAGUAAAUAUAUACCCAUAGCAUAAUUAGGCAUCGCAAGGGCUACCGUUUUUAACAAAAUCUCCUUCCCAGCCCGAGAAAGCAUCCGCGUACUCCAUCCCUGCAGGCGUUGCCAGAGCUUGUCCCUAAUAUACCUGAACACCUCUUUCUUGUUUCUGCCAAUAUAUGAUGGAAGACCAAGGUAGGCUCCAUGAUUAGAGGUCAUGGUAACCGCUAGAAUAUCACAAACCUGCUGAGUAACAGAUGCAAUCACAUUAGUGCUAAAAGAAAUUGAAGACUUGUUGAAAUUAACCUCUUGGCCAGAAGCUCGACCAUAAACCUCCAGCAGCUGCUUGAUUAAAGAAGCUUCAUUGUUAUUUGCCCUGAAAAAAAGGAAGCUAUCAUCGGCAAAAAACAAAUGCGAGACCGAUGGUGCCCCUCUCGCGAUCCGUACACCAUGAAGUAAGCCAUUCCUUUCUUGUCUUCGAAUUAAAGAACUGAGCCCUUCCGCGCAAAGAAUAAAUAGAUACGGAGAUAAUGGAUCUCCCUGUCGAAGGCCUCUACUCGGAACAAUCGGCCCAACUUCCUUUCCCUCCCGUAGCACAUGAUAUCUGACAGUAGAUACACAGAGCAUAAUUAACUCCACCCACUUGGCAUCAAACCCCAUCUUAAGCAUCAUUGCUUGAAGAAAAUUCCACUCAAUCCUGUAAUAUGCCUUAGACAUAUCAAUUUUCAGAGCAGCUACCCCAUUUUUACCUUGUCUCUUCCGCUUCAAGAAAUGCAUAAUUUCAGCCGAAAUGAUUAUGUUAUCCGUGAUAGCUCGACCCGGGAUAAAAGCGCUUUGAGAGUCUGAAAUAACCACAUCAAGAACUGAUUUCAUGCGGUUAGCUAGCAUUUUGGAUAUUAUCUUAUACAACACAUUGCAUAACGCAAUUGGUCUCGUAUCUGAUAAUAAUUCAGGUUUGUGUUUCUUCGGUAUUAGCACAAUUGAAGUGUCAUUCAAGCCCACUGGGAAAGAGCAAUCAUGAAUAAAUUUUAAACAAGCCAAAAUCACAUCCUUACCCACAAUAUGCCAGAACUUUUGGUAGAAAGCAGGGUUCAUCCCGUCGGGUCCUGGAGACUUGUCCGGAUGCAUUUCAAAGAGUGCUUCUUUAACCUCAAUGUCAGUAAAAGAAGCUAAAAGCAUUGCAUUAUGCUCGUUUGUAAUUCUUGUAUCCACACACUGGGUAACUUCAGCAGUAUGACACCCUCCGGAGGUGAAAAGGCUCUGGAAAUAGUCCACAAUCAAAGUAUCCACCUCCUCUGGGUUGGAACACCAGUCUCCUUGAUUAUUACGAAGAGACUCGAAGGAAUUCUGCCUUCUCCUGGCAGAGGUCGAGGCAUGGAAAUAGUGAGUGUUCUUGUCACAUUCCUUUAACCACAAAGACUUUGCUCUCUGUUUCCAAAAAACCUUAUGACUAUGCAAAAGCUCAUUAUAACGCUGUCUCGCUUCUGAAAAAGCAACCACACCCUCACUAUCUCGCCUACCUCGAAAAACAGCCAUACACUUCUUGCAUUCCCGAAUUCGCUGUCGAAAAUCUCAAGCAAAAUGCCCUCCCCACUCCAUAAGAGCAGACCCACACAGCAUAAUUCUAUGUUGAAUAGAAGCACCAGUAUAGGAGCUCCAGCUAUCCCGAAUAACAUCACUACAGUCAGCCUCACGCAACCAAGUAUUCUCAAAACGAAAAUGGUUAUGCCUUAAAAUAGGCUGGGUCGGGCUAGGAUCCAACAAGAUAGGAAGAUGAUCAGAGCAAGAGGAGUCUAAGCUAUAGACUUUCACCUUGUUGAAUCGCUGAAUCCAUUCCUCAGAUGCAAAAGCUCGAUCAAGCCUUUCUUCAACCCAUUUAUCAGUGCCCCUAGCUCUCUCCCAUGUAAACUGAUACCCAUCGAUGCCAAGAUCAACUAAAUUGCAAUCGGUAAUAGCUCGCUGAAAACCCACCAGCUUCCAAUUUGGGUGCGCAAUACUACCUCUCUUCUCAUUUGCCGCCAGUAAAUCAUUAAAAUCACCUAUACACACCCAUGGGAGUGAAGAGGAAGAAGCAAGCAAACGGAGCAAGUCCCACGAUUUGCGGCGCCGGCUAGACUCAGGAUAGCCGUAAUAACCAGUUAAUCUCCAUUUUCCUAAAACGGGCACUUCAACUUCAGUAUCUAUAAAAUUGGUGGCAAACUGCAGCAGAUUAACAUUACUAGUAGCUUUCCAAAGAAGCGCGAGCCCACCACUCCGGCCAACUCUAUCAACAACAAACAGCCCAUCAUAGCCCAAUUGAAUUUUGAUCAUCUCUAACUUAUCUCUACUGCAUAGCGUUUCAAUAAGAAAAAUGAACGUAGGCUUCUUGUUACGGACCACCUCUGCCAACAUACGAACUGUCCGUGGCUGGCCCAACCCACGGCAGUUCCAACUUAAAGUACUCAUUGCUCUCGGUGGGCCUGAAGUACAGGUCCCACCGCUAGCCCGUUUUUUGGAUCUACCACCAUAGAACUCACAUCCACCUCUGUUUGUACUAUACCCUCCAGCCCCAUAUCCGCUCUUCUUCUUUUAGCUUCCUUUAACACUAACUCUUUCUCCCCAUACCUUACAGCUACUUGAGUAAGGUCCAGCCCAUUUGCAAAUGAAACCACGUCUUUGCCCUUACCAAGCCGUUGACUGCUAGUGGCCUGGACAACUGGCAAUGCUUGUAAGCUCAUUAUAUUAUCCAUAGAAUCCCGCCCAUCACUCCCUAUAUGGUUGGCAAAUUUCGUAUUGUUGGAAAUUCCUGAUUUGGAGGCAUUCAUCUCAUUAACCACGGUACCACUUAAGGAAGUUUUAAAAUUUCCUGAAUUAGCCAUACAUUCUUCUGACAGUUCCGAACGUAACCACCUUUCACCGGAGGACAUGGCAUUCCGACGAGUUGGAGCCUUCAUCUCUGGCCCAUAUGACCUUGUAAUAUCAGCAGCAUCACAAUCAUACAACUUCGGACAAAGUUUUUCUGAGUGCCCAAGGAGUCCACAAAUGAAGCAGAAAGUAUUUAAUCGUUCAUACUUGAAAUCAACCCAGAACCAAUCUCCUCCCUCCUUCUUUAGUCGCAAUCUUCGCUUCAGGGGUUUCCGGACAUCAAUGGAUACCCUUAUGCGCAUAUAGUUUCUCCACACUCCCAUGAGAUUAUUAGGAUCUGAAGAUUGAAACUCACCAAUAUUGUUACCAAUAUUUAUCAAUACUUUCUCUGACAGAAACCCAAUGGGUAAGUUGUACACCUGGAUCCAAAACGAAGUAUGGAAUAAAGAAACCAUAUUCGGUUGUUCAUUCUCCCCCAAUCUCUUUAAAAUUAGAAUAUGUUGGUCGAAGGUCCACGGUCCCGAAUCAAUCACACGCUUGAGGUCAACUUCGUGAAAGAAUUGGAACAAGAAAAGAGAAGGUGAUAAAUCUUUGAUGCACACUCCCUUCCCUGGACGCCAUAAUGCCGCCAUAGUAUUUUUCAUGGCCGGAAAAUUGAUCACCUUAUCAGUUAAAAACCUCCCCACCAAGCAGAAUCUAAAAUCAGUCAACCCUGCAUUUCCAGUGGCAAUAUCCUCACUAUGAAAAACAAGACCAUCGUCAUCUUCCUCCCCAAUAGAAACCUUUUCAUAUGCAGCAUUCAUCUCAUGCUCCCCAAAAUUUCUACUGGUUGUCAUAGUACUCGUAAUAAGCAGGAAAUAUGGCUAUCUAGCCGGAAAUAUCCUAGAGCAAACUUGUCAGAAGGACAAGACAAACAAAGCUUGCCAAAGAGACAAGAGUAGCCUAAAAUUACGAAUUGUGUUUGAGUAGGAGGAUAAUGUAAGAAAACUUGGCACUUUUAUUCAACUGAAGAAAUUUUACAAUUUAAAUUAGAAACGAUAAAAUUUAAUAAUUAACUAUUAUUUGAACUAAUUGAAUCGUGCGCCAUCAUUUGUGUAAUGUAUCCUAUUUGCAAAAUAAACGGCAGGAUGCGGUUUGCGGACAGAUUAUGGAAAGAAAAAGGCAUAUAUUUCUCUCCUAUUUUGGUAAUUCUAUAUUUCUAUUCUUCUUCUUUUUCAACCCCAAAUAAUCAAAAGCUCUCCAAUGGCUUUCGUAUCCACAAGGACCACAACUCGUCCAUUUCAUUUUACUUCAAUUUUAGUAUCAGCUCUUAGAUGUAAUUUCUCAUCUUCGUUCCCUCAUACCGGAAAACCCACAUCUUCAAUUUCGGAAAAUGAACCCUCGUAUCCGACCACAACAGCUAAACUGAAGGAGUCGCUACGACUGACGGUCAAAGACUGAGCCUCACUCGAAAAAUUCCUCAAAGAAAGGUGCAAAUCAUCAGGUCAAGGUGAUAUUAAUCUUAUUACUCCUAAUGAAGCCUUGUGUAUCUUUGAUUACAUGCUCCGUAUGCACCCUUCUCCGCCUCCUGUCUCUUCCUUCAAUAUUUUGUUUGGUUGUCUUGCUAAGAAUAAACAUUAUGAUACUGUCCUUUCACUCUUCAAGCGACUCAAUUCAACUGGGUUGUUUCCAGAUCUUUAUACUUACAAUAUCUUGAUUAACUGCUUUUGCAAAAUGGGUCGAGUUUCUCAUGGUUUUGUUGUUCUUGGGAGAAUCCUCAGGUCUUGUUUUACUCCAGAUGCUGUGACCUUUACUUCUUUGAUUAAAGGUUUGUGUGCGGAGAGUAGAAUCAUGGAGGCCGCCACAUUGUUUAUGAAACUUAAAGCGUUUGGUUGUGAGCCUAAUGUCAUUACAUACACCACUUUGAUUAAUGGAUUGUGUCGAACAGGCCAUACAAUUGUUGCUCUAAAUUUAUUUGAAGAGAUGGCUAAUGGAAAUGGGGAAUUUGCUGUUGUUUGUAAGCCAGACACUGCUACAUACAGUACUAUUAUCGAUGGUCUUUGUAAGGAAGGUUUUGUGGACAAGGCCAAGGAACUGUUUCUGCAGAUGAAGGAUAACAAUAUUAACCCUAACAUGGUUACCUAUACCUCUGUGAUUCGUGGUUUUUGUUAUGCUAAUGAUUGGAAUGAGACCAAGUGUUUGCUAAUUGAGAUGAUGGACCAAGGGGUACAGCCUAAUGUUGUGACUUUCAAUGUCAUCAUGAAUGAGCUCUGCAAGAAUGGAAAGAUGGAUGAGGCAAGUCGGUUGUUGGACCUGAUGAUUCAGUUUGGUGUGCGUCCAAAUGCUUUUGUCUAUAACACAUUAAUGGACGGGUUUUGCUUGACAGGUAGAGUUAAUCGUGCGAAGGAACUAUUUGUUUCUAUGGAGAGUAUGGGUUGCAAACAUACUGUUUUUAGUUACAGUAUUUUGAUAAAUGGUUACUGCAAGAAUAAGGAAAUAGAGGGAGCGUUAACCCUUUAUAGCGAAAUGCUCUCUAAAGGAAUUAAGCCAACAGUUGUUACAUAUAGCACCUUGUUUCUUGGACUUUUUGAAAUACACCAGGUUCAGCAUGCUUUAAAACUGUUUGAUGAGAUGCAGCGUAAUCAUGUGGCAGCUAAUACAUAUAUAUACACUACCUUUAUUGACGGGCUCUGCAAGAAUGGUUUGGAACUGUUUCUGAAGAUGAAGGAUGAGAAUAUUAACCCCAAUGUGGUUACUUAUACCUCUUUGAUUCACGGUUUUUGUUACGCUAAUGAUUGGAAUGAGGCGAAGUGUUUGUUUAUUGAGAUGAUGGACCAAGGGGUACAACCUAAUGUUGUGACUUUCAAUGUGAUCAUGGAUGAGCUCUGCAAGAAUGGAAAGAUGGAUAAAGCAAGUCGGUUGCUGGACCUGAUGAUUCAGAUUGGUGUGCGUCCAGAUGCUUCUGUCUAUAACACAUUAAUGGAUGGGUUUUGCUUGACGGUUAGAGUUAACCGUGCGAAGGAACUAUUUGUUUUUAUGGAGAGUAUGGGUUGCAAACAUAAUGUUUUUAGUUACAGUAUUUUGAUAAAUGGUUACUGCAAGAAUAAGGAAAUAGAGGAAGCGUUAAGCCUUUAUAGCGAAAUGCUCUCUAAAGGAAUUAAGCCAACAGUUGUUACAUAUAGCACCUUGUUUCUUGGACUUUUUGAAAUACACCAGGUUCAGCAUGCUUUAAAACUGUUUGAUGAGAUGCAGCGUAAUCAUGUGGCAGCUAAUACAUAUAUAUACACUACCUUUAUUGACGGGCUCUGCAAGAAUGGUUUUGUUCUAGAGGCACUGGAAUUAUUCCGUGCUAUAAGAAAUAGCAAGUAUGAGCUUAAUAUCGUAUCCUACAACUGCCUCAUUGAUGGAUUGUGUAAAAUAGGCAAACUGGAAACUGCUUGGGAACUGUUUCAAAGUUUGCCUCGUGUAGGCCUAAUGGCAGAUGUUGUAACAUACAACAUCAUGAUCCAUGGGCUUUGUAAUGAUGGGCAAAUGGACAAGGCACAUGAUUUGUUUCUUGAUAUGGAAGCAAAAGGUGUGGAACCCGAUUGUGUCAUAUUUAAUACGAUUAUGCUGGGUUUCAUCCGCAAUAAUGAGACAUCAAAAGUUAUUGAACUCCUUCACAGAAUGGAUAAGAGAAAUGUAAUGCCAGACGCAUCUAUACUUUCAAUUGUUGUGGACUUGCUUGUAAAGAAUGAAAUUAGCUUAAACUCGAUUCCACAAUUCAAGAGUCAAAGGUAAGUGAGUUUAAUACUGAUUUAGCCACAUGUUUCUUCUGCCUGAAAACCCAACCUGGAGGAUCCCAUUCUUAUUACAACAUGUAAAGGAGUGUUGUCUAAUGUAGGCAUGUUCCUAGGUUCUGUCCAUGGAUUCUGUUUGCAGACAUGGCUAACUUCUUGUUCAACAGAAAGUUUUAAAGUCUUUCAACUUUAUGUUGUAAAAUAACUUUUUUAUUAUUCAAUUCAUGAGUUUUUCUUCUAUAACACAUCCUUCUCAUUAGCUGGAAGUGCAAAUUUUUUAGGCUUUUCCUGUAUGGCCUCUUUCUCUGCUCUAAAUAAAAUGGCAUUUUAUUUCCCUCUUGUGAGGGUACAAGGUUUAUGUUUAAACUUUCUGUUAGUUAAAUUGGUUGUCUUUGAUAUAGGGAACUUCCAGUUGAACUGAUUUGUAAUUCGACUAUAUGAGAUUACCAACUGUAUUGGGAAUUGAUGCCAAAUUAAUAAUGUCAUCAGGUUUUUCAAUCAGUGUUCAUCAUUUAUUUCUGUUAACAAUUAAUAGCACAGUUUGUCUUCUCAGCUUCAUUGGUUCCUCUCAAAAAUGAUCUUGUAAAGACAAUCUUUCUUGGGCAUGGAAAAUGCUAGAUUGUUUGUGGUCUGAAUGAUACUACACAUCUAAGUAAUUGCCCAAAUUUUUUGUUCCUUGUUACACGGCAUUCAAUUGAAUGAGGACUCAUGUUUGUGUGUAUUGGUAUUUGUUAUACUAUGUAUUGGCAAGACAAAGUUUCUUGAAACUGACAAACUUUUCUCUAUGAAGAUUGAAGACAAUAUGAUAAGAUAAAAUUUAUCAAAAGCCUAUAUAUGCUUGCCAGGGCUGGACCUUUGAUUAUUAGUCCUCGCCUUUCGUUCUUGUUUCAUAUUCUUCUGCUAACAAAUCUUGAUCAUGAAUCUCAUCACAUUUGGUACGCGUAUCCAUGGUUUUAUCCGAACCAAUGAGCCAUCAAAAGUUAUUGACCUUCUUCACAAGAUGAGGGAGAAAAAAGUAAUGCCAGAUGCAUCUAUAGUUUCAAUCGUCGUGGACUUGUAAAGAAUGAAAUUAGUCUGAACUCACUUCCGUCAUUUCCUGUUCAAGAGCAACAGGGGGAGGUUGAUGAGUCAAAUGUCAAGUUGUAGCAGCAUGUGCUUUCAGCCUAAAAUCCUGAUCUGCAGCAUCUCAAUCAUGUUACAAAGUGACACGUCGCCUAGUGACAGCAAGUUCUCUACGGUGCUGUUAAUGGAUCCUGAUUGUUCUUGUGAUCUGGAGAGUCUCAUUCAUAUUACAGAUCCUGAUCAGGACGAGCUAGCUUAUGUGAUCACCAACUCUACAUUGUUGUUGAUGCCAAAUUAAAUAUGGUAUCAUGUUUUUCAACUUGUUACUUACUACAGUCCUUCCAUUGAAUGGCCACAAGAAACUGUAAAAUCACCCUUUGUCUUGUUCCCUCUUAAUGAUCCAUCACUUUGGGAGCUAAUGAAUUAGUUGCACCUUGUCACUUUAUUGGUACUUGAUUGUCAUUUGUGCUUUGAAUUCACAGCAUAUUUUAUCCUUGCUGUACUCUUUGCAUAAUCACCUUUGA